rnacentral:lncRNA from 1 species
AAGCACUAACCUCCCCGGCAACGGCGCCAGAAAAAUAGCUUGAUGUCUACUACACAAUCUUCUUCUUGUAGACUCGUGUUGGGCCUCCAAGCGCAGACUUUUGUAGGACAGUAGCAAAUUUCCCUCAAGUGGAUGACCUAAGGUUUAUCAAUCCGUGGGAGGUGUAGGAUGAAGAUGGUCACUCUCAAACAACCCUGCAACCAAAUAACAAAGAGCCUCUUGUGUCCCCAACACACCCAAUACAAUGAUAAAUUAUAUAAGUGCACUAUUUCAGCGAAGAGAUGGUGAUACAAGUGCAAUAUGGAUAGUAGAUAUAGGUUUUUGUAAUCUGGAAAUAUAAAAACAGCAAGGUAGAAACUAACAAAAGUGAGCGAAAAUGGUAUUGCAAUGCUUCGAAACAAGGCCUAGGGUUCAUACUUUCACUAGUGCAAGUUCUCUCAACAAUGAUAACAUAAUUAGAUUAUAUAACAAUCCCUCAACGUGCAACAAAGAGUCACACCAAAGACACUAAUAGCGGAGAAUAAAUGAAGAGAUUAAUGUAGGGUAGGAAACCACCUCAAAGUUAUUUUUUCUGAUCGAUCUAUUGGGCUAUUCUUAUUAGUGUCACAAACAGCCCUAGAGUUCGUACUAAAAUAACACCCUAAGACACACAUCAACCAAAACCCUAAUGUCACCUAGAUACUCCAUCUCAGAUUCAUCUAUUCAAACCAACACAAAGAACUUCAAAGAGUGCCCCAAAGUUUCUACCGGAGAGUCAAGACGAAAACAUGUGCCAACCCCUAUGCAUAAGUUCGCAAGGUCACAGAACCCGCAAGUUGAUCACCAAAACAUACAUCAAGUAGAUCGCGUGAAUAUCCCAUUGUCACCAUAGAUAAGUACAUGCAAGACAUACAUCAAGUGUUCUCGAAUCCUUAAAGACUCAAUCCGAUCAGAUAACUUCAAAGAGAAAACUCAAUCCAUUACAAGAAGGUAGAGGGGGAGAAACAUCAUAAGAUCCAACUAUAAUAGCAAAGAUCACGGUACAUCAAGCUCAUGCCAAAUCAAGAACAUGAGAGAGAGAGAGAGAGAGAUCAAACACAUAGCUACUGGUACAUACCCUCAGCCCCGAGGAUGAACUACUCCCUCCUCGUCAUGGAGAGCGUCGGGAUGAUGAAGAUAGCCACGGGUGAUGAUUUCCCCCUCUGGCAGGGUGCCGGAACAAGAUCCCGAUUGGUUUUUGGUGGCUAUAGAGGCUUGCGGCGGCGGAACUCCCGAUCUAGGUUUUGUUCUGGGGGUUUUGGGAUUUAUAAGAGUCGUUGGCGUCGGGAACAAGUCAGGGGGCCCCACGAGUCAACCACAAGGACGGGGGGCGAGCCCUAGGGGGGGCGCCCUCCACCCUUGUGGUGGCCUCGGGACUCUUCUCUGAUAACUUUUCGUUCUAGUAUUUUUCAUAUUUUCCAAGAAUAAUCUCCGUAAAUUUUCAGGUCAUUUGGACUCCGUUUGAUAUUCCUUUUCUGCGAAACUCAAAAACAAGGAAAAAAGAGAAACUGGCACUGGGCUCUAGGUUAAUAGGUUAGUCCCAAAAAUCAUAUAAAAUAGCAUAUAAAUGCAUAUAAAACAUCCAAGAUAGAUAAUAUAAUAGCAUGGAACAUUCAAAAAUUAUAGAUACAUUGGAGACGUAUCAGAUGGCCAAUGCUCCUUAGAGGAGGUCGCAUCUAUGGUACCAAUGUAGUGCAUGUUGAUAAGGAGAGAGGUAUCUUCCUGUGAACAAAGCGUGUUAUCCGGACCCACACCUUUGAAGGGAACAUAGGUCGGCAUAGCCUCGGAAAAUGUGUUCACCAUACGAGGAGUGAGACCCAUCGUACACCUAGUUUUUAAGGACUCGGGGUUUUUGGUGGUCUCUAGGUGGACCAUGAGAACGGUCACCAGUACGUUUCCCAGGUUCGAGGUCGAAGGUAGAUAAAAAUGCUUUGUACACGGGAGAAACCUUCCUUAGUACUACACUUGCAACUUUACUAAAGAUGCCAAGACCUUCCUCUGUUUGGGAAGGAAUGUGCGCCUUUGCGCAACUUCCUUGGGCCAUUAGUGCUUCACGAACUGUCCUCUUCUUGGGAGCCAACAGUUCAAGAUACUUGGCCAGCCUCGAAUGAGAUCUCGUAGUGAGCCCCAUUCCGAGCAUCCAUCUUGAGAAAGAUGGACCCCUCCUUCCAACUUUUCCCGCCUUUCGCCCCUUCCGUGGAAGUCCGUCCAGCGUCAUCUUGACGGCGCUCAUGCCGGCUGAUGUCUACUACGCAACCUUCUUCUUGUAGACUCGUGUUGGGCCUCCAAGCGCAGAGUUUUGUAGGAUAGUAGCAAAUUUCCCUCAAGUGACCUAAGGUUUAUCAAUCCAUGGGAGGCGUAGGAUGAAGAUGGUCUCUCAACAACCCUGCAACCAAAUAACAAAGAGUCUCUUGUGUCCUCAACACACUCAAUACAAUGGUAAGUUGUAUAGGUGCACUAGUUCGGCGAAGAGAUGGUGAUACAAGUGUAAUAUGGAUGGUAGAUAUAGGUUUUUGUAAUCUGAAAAUAUAAAACAGCAAGGUAACUAGUAACGAAAGUGAGCGAAAACGGUAUAGCAAUGCUUCGAAACAUGGCCUAGGGUUCAUAUUUUCACUAGUGCAAGUUCUCUCAAGAGUGAUAACAUAAUUAGAUCAUAUAACAAUCCCUCAACAUGCAACAAAGAGUCACUCCAAAGUCACUAAUAGCGGAGAAUAAACAAAGAGAUUACAGUAGGGUACGAAACCACCUCAAAGUUAUUCUUUCUGAUCUAUCUAUUGGGCUAUUCCUAUAAGUGUCACAAACAACCCUAGAAUUCAUACUAAAAUAACACCUUAAGACACACAUCAACCAAAACGCUAAUGUCACUUAGAUACUCCAAUGUCUCCACAAGUAUCCGCGGGUUUCAUUAUAUGACAUGCAUCACACAAUCUCAGGUUCAUCUAUUCAAACCAACACAAAGAACUUCAAAGGGUGCCCCAAAGUUUCUACCGGAGAGUCAAGACGAAAACGUGUGUCAAUCCCUAUGUAUAGGUUCACAAGGUCACAUAACCCGCAAGUUGAUCACCAAAACAUACAUCAAGUAUAUCACGCGAAUAUCCCAUUGUCACCACAGAUAAGCACAUGCAAUACAUACAUCAAGUGUUCUCAAAUCCUUAAAGACUCAAUCCAAUAAGAUAACUUCAAAGGGAAAACUGAAUCCAUUACAAGAAGGUAGAGGGGGAGAAACAUCAUAAGAUCCAACUAUAAUAGCAAAGCUCGCGGAAUAUCAAGAUCGUGCCCAAUCAAGAACGCGUGAGAGAGAGAGAUCAAACACAUAGCUACUGGUACAUACCCUCAGCCCCGAGGGUGAACUACUCCCUCCUCGUCAUGGAGAUCGUCGGGAUGAUGAAGAUGGCCAUCGGUGAUGGUUUCCCCCUUCGGCACGAUGCCGGAACAGGCUCCCAAUUGGUUUUUCGUGGCUACAGAGGCUUGCGGCAGCGGAACUCCCGAUCUAGGUUCUGUUCUGGGGUUUUGGGAUUUAUAAGAGGCGUUGGCGUCGGGAACAAGUCAGGGGGGGCCCACGAGGAGCCCACAAGGACGGAGGGCGCGCCCUAGGCGGUGGGGGUGCCCUCCACCCUUGUGGACUCCACGUGGCUCUUCUCCAAUAUCUUUUCAUUCCAGUACUUCUUAUAUUUUCUAAAAAUAAUCUCCGUAAAUUUUCAGGUCAAUUGGACUUCGUUUGAUAUUCCUUUUCUGCGAAACUCAAAAACAAGGGAAAAACAAAAACUGGCACUGGGCUCUAGGUUAAUAGGUUAGUCCCAAAAAUCAUAUAAAAUAGCAUAUAAAUGCAUAUAAAACAUCCAAGAUAUAGUAUAAUAGCAUGGAACAAUAAAAAAUUAUAGAUACGUUGAAGACAUAUCACCAGCAAGCCCAUGAAGAGGGACCAGCUACAUCGGCCCAAGUGCACUUAUAUGCGAUGUGAUAGAGCUUAACAAGUGUGGGCACUUCACAAGGAGCAAGCUUGUCACAAACAUUGGCGUUUCAGACGCCUGCACAAAAUGCAUCGAGGAUGCCCUUGUGCGGGAGGUCUCGGACUUGACGUUUGACCUGGCAAAAUUGCUGGGUGAAUUCUUCAAGGGAUUCACCGGGCCGUUAUCUCAGCUGGAAAGCUCAGAAGGUGGUACUCCUACUUCCUGUCGGAUGGGUGGAGAAGGCGAAGCACUCCCUUCUGCUGUGUGGGAGCAGGACAAAGGGCACCGCUCCGAGGCAAAGCACAAAUCUUGGUGACUCCCGCGAAGACGCGGCCUUGGGUGAGCCCCCUGGCGGCGAGGGCGCGGGGCUAAACCGUUGGCGUGCGCUGCGCUGCUCACGUUCAAGUCCUUGCCGGCCGACGACGUUGCGCGAACACUCCCUCGCCAUCUUGAAAAGCUCAUGAUGAUGAAUUUUGUGUCAACAAAGACGUUGGCGGCUUUGUUGAUGUAAAUCUGCACGAGCAUCCCCUAUCCGCCGCGCCAGAUGUCAGGGCGCGUGUGCGGAACACACUCGUGACACCGUGGACAAGAGACAUCCUUCUGCUAGUUCGGAAUCGGGGCACGAAGACACGGACCUACACUACCAAAUCAUGCAUAAUGGGCACGGUGAUUUAUCCAGGUUCGGGCCGCAUGGUGCGUAAUACGUUACUCCUGUUUUUGGUGUGUGUUUUUAUGGGUGGAUUAGAGCUACAAAACCUUCCCGGGAACAGUGAGGACAGUGUAUCCCUACUGGCGUUCUACUAAGUGUCCAACCUCUUAGCUAUUUGCCUCUUUUUUGGUUCUCUCGGCCCCCCUCUCCUCCUCUUGGCCUGGCCGUCCUUUUAUACUUUAAGGGCUACCACAGAUGGCUUCGAGGCUAAAGGAAGUGACAUCAAUCGAACCAGGUAGGUGGAUGCAUUAAUUGCGUGAUGAGGUGUCAUCGCCUUAUGUCUUUCGGGAACGGACCCCUGUCUUAUCAAAACCGACCUAGAUGACACCUGCUGGAAGCAUGACACGUCUCGGCACUUGCACCAUGCGGCGGCGUGGGUGAGUGAGUCACCCCUUGCGUCUUGUCCACCGCCUGGCACGCCUGCCCACCGGCCGCGUGGCAUGAGAGCCCUGCUGUUGGGUUUCGCAGUAAUUUCAAAAAAUUUCCUACGCACACGCAAGAUCAUGUGAUGCAUAGCAACGAGGGGGAGAGUGUUGUCUAUGUACCCAACGCAGACCGACUGCGGAAGCGCUGACACGACGUAGAGGAAGUAGUCGCACGUCUUCACGAUCCAACCGAUCAAGCACCGAAACUACAGCACCUCCGAGUUCGAGCACACGUUCAGCUCGAUGACGAUCCCCGGACUCCGAUCCAGCAAAGUUUCGGGGAAGAGUUCCGUCAGCACGACGGUGUGGUGACGAUCUUGAUGUACUACAGCAGCAGGGCUUCGCCUAAACUCCGCUACAGUAUUAUCGAGGAAUAUGGUGGCACGGGGCACCGCACACGGCUAAGGAAUAGAUCACGUGGAUCAACUCAUGUGUUUCUGGGGUGCCUCUGCCUCAGUAUAUAAAGGAGCCAAGGGGGGAGGGGGCGCCGGCCAAGGAGGAGGGCGCGGGAGGAGUCCUACUCCUUCCGGGAGUAGGACUCCCCUCCAAUCCUAUUCCAACUAGGAUUCCCCAAAGUGGAAAAGAGGGAGAGGGGGGCCGGCCACCUUCUCCUAGUCCUAAUAGGACUAGGGGAGGGGGAAGUGGCGCAGCCACCUUGGGCUGCCCCUUUAUCCUUUCCACUAAGGCCCAUGAAGGCCCAUAUGGUUCCCGGGGGGUUCCGGUAACCUCCGGGUAACCCGGUAAAAUCCCGAUUUCACCCGGAACACUUCCGAUGUCCAAAUAUAGGCUUCCAAUAUAUCAAUCUUUACGUCUCGACCAUUUCGAGACUCCUCGUCAUGUCCGUGAUCACAUCCGGGACUCCGAACAACCUUCGGUACAUCAAAAUGCAUAAACUCAUAAUAUAACUGUCAUCGUAACCUUAAGCGUGCGGACCCUACGGGUUCGAGAACAAUGUAGACAUGACCGAGACACGUCUCCGGUCAAUGACCAAUAGCGGGACCUGGAUGCCCAUAUUGGCUCCUACAUAUUCUACGAAGAUCUUUAUCGGUCAGACCGCAUAACAACAUACGUUGUUCCCUUUGUCAUCGGUAUGUUACUUGCCCGAGAUUCGAUCGUCGGUAUCCAAUACCUAGUUCAAUCUCGUUACCGGCAAGUCUCUUUACUCGUUCCGUAAUACAUCAUCUCACAACUAACAUAUUAGUUGUAAUGCUUGCAAGGCUUAUGUGAUGUGUAUUACCGAGAGGGCCCAGAGAUACCUCUCCGACAAUCGGAGUGACAAAUCCUAAUCUCGAAAUACGCCAACCCAACAUCUACCUUUGGAGACACCUGUAAUGCUCCUUUAUAAUCACCCAGUUGCGUUGUGACGUUUGGUAGCACCCAAAGUGUUCCUCUGGCAAACGGGAGUUGCAUAAUCUCAUAGUCAUAGGAACAUGUAUAAGUCAUGAAGAAAGCAAUAGCAACAUACUAAACGAUCGGGUGCUAAGCUAAUGGAAUGGGUCAUGUCAAUCAGAUCAUUCAACUAAUGAUGUGACCUCGUUAAUCAAAUAACAACUCAUUGUUCAUGGUCAGGAAACAUAACCAUCUUUGAUUAACGAGCUAGUCAAGUAGAGGCAUACUAGUGACACUUUGUUUGUCUAUGUAUUCACACAUGUAUUAUGUUUCCGGUUAAUACAAUUCUAGCAUGAAUAAUAAACAUUUAUCAUGAUUAUAAGGAAAUAAAUAAUAACUUCAUUAUUGCCUCUAGGGCAUAUUUCCUUCAGUCUCCCACUUGCACUAGAGUCAAUAAUCUAGAUUACACUGUAAUGAUUCUAACACCCAUGGAGCUUUGGCGAUGAUCAUGUUUUGCUCGUGGAAGAGGCUUAGUCAACGGGUCUGCAACAUUUAGAUUCGUAUGUAUCUUGCAAAUCUCUAUGUCUCCCACCUGGACUAGAUCCCGGAUGGAGUUGAAGCAUCUCUUGAUGUGUUUGGUCCUUUUGUGAAAUCUGGAUUCCUUUGCCAAGGCAAUUGCACCAGUAUUGUCACAAAAGAUUUUCAUUGGACCCGAUGCAUUAGGUAUGACACCUAGAUCGGAUAUGAACUCCUUCAUCCAGACUCCUUCGUUCGCUGCUUCUGAAGCAGCUAUGUACUCCGCUUCACAUGUAGAUCCCGCUACAACACUUUGUUUAGAACUGCACCAACUGACAGCUCCACCGUUUAAUGUAAACACGUAUCUGGUUUGCGAUUUAGAAUCGUCCAGAUCAGUGUCAAAGCUUGCAUCAACGUAACCUUUUACGGUGAGCUCUUUGUCACCUCCAUAUACGAGAAACAUAUCCUUAGUCCUUUUCAGGUAUUUCAGGAUGUUCUUGACCGUUGUCCAGUGAUCCACUCCUGGAUUACUUUGGUACCUCCCUGCUAAACUUAUAGCAAGGCACACAUCAGGUCUGGUACACAGCAUUGCAUACAUGAUAGAUCCUAUGGCUGAUGCAUAGGGAACAUCUUUCAUAUUCUCUCUAUCUUCUGCAGUGGUCGGGCAUUGAGUCUUACUCAACUUCACACCUUGUAACACAGGCAAGAACCCUUUCUUUGCUUGAUCCAUUUUGAACUUCUUCAAAAUUUUGUCAAGGUAUGUGCUUUGUGAAAGUCCAAUUAAGCGUCUUGAUCUAUCUCUAUAGAUCUUAAUGCCUAAUAUGUAAGCAGCUUCACCGAGGUCUUUCAUUGAAAAACUUUUAUUCAAGUAUCCCUUUAUGCUAUCCAGAAAUUCUAUAUCAUUUCCAAUUAGCAAUAUGUCAUCCACAUAUAAUAUCAGAAAUGCUACAGAGCUCCCACUCACUUUCUUGUAAAUACAGGCUUCUCCGAAUGUCUGUAUAAAACCAAAUGCUUUGAUCACACUAUCAAAACGUUUAUUCCAACUCCGAGAGGCUUGCACCAGUCCAUAAAUGGAUCGCUGGAGCUUGCACACUUUGUUAGCUCCCUUUGGAUCGACAAAACCUUCCGGUUGCAUCAUAUACAACUCUUCUUCCAGAAAUCCAUUCAGGAAUGCAGUUUUGACAUCCAUCUGCCAAAUUUCAUAAUCAUAAAAUGCGGCAAUCGCUAACAUGAUUCGGACGGACUUAAGCAUCGCUACAGGUGAGAAGGUCUCAUCGUAGUCAAUCCCUUGAACUUGCCGAAAACCUUUUGCGACAAGUCGAGCUUUGUAGACAGUAACAUUACCAUCAGCGUCAGUCUUCUUCUUAAAGAUCCAUUUAUUUUCAAUUGCUUGCCGAUCAUCGGGCAAGUCAACCAAAGUCCAUACUUUGUUUUCAUACAUGGAUCCCAUCUCAGAUUUCAUGGCUUCAAGCCACUUUGCGGAAUCUGGGCUCACCAUUGCUUCUUCAUAGUUCGUAGGUUCAUCAUGAUCUAGUAUCAUGACUUCCGGAACAGGAUUACCGUACCACUCUGGUGCGGAUCUUACUCUGGUUGAUCUACGAGGUUCAGUAGUAUCUUGAUCUGAAGUUUCAUGAUCAUUAUCAUUGACUUCCUCACUAAAUGGUGUAGGUGUCACUGAAACAGUUUUCUGUGAUGAACUACUUUCCAGUAAGGGAGCAGGUACAGUUACCUCAUCAAGUUCUACUUUCCUCCCACUCGCUUCUUUCGAGAGAAACUCCUUCUCUAGAAAGGAUCCAUUCUUAGCAACGAAUGUCUUGCCUUCGGAUCUGUGAUAGAAGGUGUACCCAACAAUUUCCUUUGGGUAUCCUAUGAAGACACAUUUCUCUGAUUUGGGUUCGAGCUUAUCAGGUUGAAGCUUUUUCACAUAAGCAUCGCAGCCCCAAACUUUAAGAAGCGACAACUUUGGUUUCUUGCCAAACCAUAGUUCAUAAGGUGUCGUCUCAACGGAUUUUGAUGGUGCCCUAUUUAACGUGAAUGCGGCCGUCUCUAGUGCAUAACCCCAAAAUGAUAGCGGUAAAUCAGUAAGAGACAUCAUAGAUCGCACCAUAUCCAGUAAAGUACGAUUACGACGUUCGGACACAACAUUACGCUGUGGUGUUCCGGGUGGCGUGAGUUGCGAAACUAUUCCACAGUUUUUCAAAUGUACACCAAACUCGUAACUCAAAUAUUCUCCUCCACGAUCAGAUCGUAGAAACUUUAUUUUCUUGUUACGAUGAUUUUCAACUUCACUCUGAAAUUCUUUGAACUUUUCAAAUGUUUCAGAUUUAUGUUUCAUUAAGUAGAUAUACCCAUAUCUGCUUAAAUCAUCUGUGAAGGUGAGAAAAUAACGAUAUCCGCCACGAGCCUCAAUAUUCAUCGGACCACAUACAUCGGUAUGUAUGAUUUCCAACAAAUCUGUUGCUCUCUCCAUAGUACCGGAGAACGGUAUUUUAGUCAUCUUGCCCAUGAGGCACGGUUCGCAAGUACCAAGUGAUUCAUAAUCAAGUGGUUCCAAAAGUCCAUCAGUAUGGAGUUUCUUCAUGCGCUUUAUACCGAUAUGACCUAAACGACAGUGCCACAAAUAAGUUGCACUUUCAUUAUCAACUCUGCAUCUUUUGGUUUCAACAUUAUGAAUAUGUGUAUUACUACUAUCGAGAUUCAAUAAGAAUAGACCACUCUUCAAGGGUGCAUGACCAUAAAAGAUAUUACUCAUAUAAAUAGAACAACCAUUAUUCUCUGAUUUGAAUGAAUAACCGUCUCACAUUAAACAAGAUCCAGAUAUAAUGUUCAUGCUCAACGCUGGCACCAAAUAACAAUUAUUUAGGUCUAAUAUUAAUCCCGAAGGUAGAUGUAGAGGUAGCGUGCCGACCGCGAUCACAUCGACUUUGGAACCGUUUCCCACGCGCAUCGUCACCUCGUCCUUUGCCAGUGCCCGCUUAUUCCGUAGUCCCUGUUUCGAGUUGCAAAUAUUAGCAACAGAACCAGUAUCAAAUACCCAGGUGCUACUGCGAGCUCUAGUAAGGUACACAUCAAUAACAUGUAUAUCACAUAUACCUUUGUUCACCUUGCCAUCCUUCUUAUCCGCCAAAUACUUGGGGCAGUUCCGCUUCCAGUGACCAGUCUGCUUGCAGUAGAAGCACUCAGUUUCAGGCUUAGGUCCAGACUUGGGUUUCUUAUCUUGAGCAGCAACUUGCUUGCCGUUCUUCUUGAAGUUCCCCUUCUUCUUCCCUUUGCCCUUUUUCUUGAAACUAGUGGUCUUGUUAGCCAUCAACACUUGAUGCUCCUUCUUGAUUUCUACCUCCGCAGCUUUCAGCAUUGCGAAGAGCUCGGGAAUAGUCUUGUUCAUCCCUUGCAUAUUAUAGUUCAUCACGAAGCUUUUGUAGCUUGGUGGCAGUGAUUGGAGAAUUCUGUCAAUGACGCAAUCAUCCGGAAGAUUAACUCCCAAUUGAAUCAAGUGAUUAUUAUACCCAGACAUUUUGAGUAUAUGCUCACUGACAGAACUGUUCUCCUCCAUCUUGCAGCUAUAGAACUUAUUGGAGACUUCAUAUCUCUCAAUCCGGGCAUUUGCUUGAAAUAUUAACUUCAACUCUUGGAACAUCUCAUAUGCUCCAUGACGUUCAAAACGUCGUUGAAGUCCCGAUUCUAAGCCGUAAAGCAUGGCACACUGAACUAUCGAGUAGUCAUCAGCUUUGCUCUGCCAGACGUUCAUAACAUCUGGUGUUGCUCCAGCAGUAGGCCUGGCACCCAGCGGUGCUUCCAGGACGUAAUUCUUCUAAGCAGCAAUGAGGAUAAUCCUCAAGUUACAGACCCAGUCCGUGUAAUUGCUACCAUCAUCUUUCAACUUUGCUUUCUCAAGGAACGCAUUAAAAUUCAACGGAACAACAGCACGAGCCAUCUAUCUACAAUCAACAUAAACAAGCAAGAUACUAUCAGGUACUAAGUUCAUGAUAAAUUUAAGUUCAAUUAAUCAUAUUACUUAAGAACUCCCACUUAGAUAGACAUCCCUCUAAUCCUCUAAGUGAUUACGUGAUCCAAAUCAACUAAACCAUGACCGAUCAUCACGUGAGAUGGAGUAGCUUUCAAUGGUGAACAUCGUUUAUAUUGAUCAUAUCUACUAUAUGAUUCACGCUCGACCUUUCGGUCUCCAUGUUCCGAGGCCAUAUCUGCAUAUGCUAGGCUCGUCAAGUUUAACCUGAGUAUUCUGCUUGUGCAAAACUGGCUUGCACCCGUUGUAGAUGGACGUAGAGCUUAUCACACCCGAUCAUCACGUGGUGUCUGGGCACGACGAACUUUGGCAACGGUGCAUACUCAGGGAGAACACUUCUUGAUAAUUUAGUGAGAGAUCAUCUUAUAAUGCUACCGUCAAUCAAAGCAAGAUAAGAUGCAUAAAAAGAUAAACAUCACAUGCAAUCAAUAUAAGUGAUAUGAUAUGGCCAUCAUCAUCUUGUGCUUGUGAUCUCCAUCUCCGAAGCACCGUCAUGAUCACCAUCGUCACCGGCGCGACACCUUGAUCUCCAUCGUAGCAUCGUUGUCGUCUCGCCAAUCUUAUGCUUCCACAACUAUCACUACCGUUUAGUAAUAAAGUAAAGCAUUACAUCGCGAUUGCAUUGCAUACAAUAAAGCGACAACCAUAUGGCUCCUGCCAGUUGCCGAUAACUCGGUUACAAAACAUGAUCAUCUCAUACAAUAAAAUUCAGCAUCAUGCCUUGACCAUAUCACAUCACAACAUGCCCUGCAAAAACAAGUUAGACGUCCUCUACUUUGUUGUUGCAAGUUUUACGUGGCUGCUACGGGCUUAAGUAAGAACCAAUCUCACCUACGCAUCAAAACCACAACGAUAGUUUGUCAAAUAGACUCCGUUUUAACCUUCGCAAGGACCGGGCGUAGCCAUACUUGGUUCAACUAAAGUUGGAGAGACAGUCGCCCGCAAGCCAUCUCUGUGCAAAGCACGUCGAGGGAACCGGUCUCGCGUAAGCGUACGCGUAAGGUUGGUCCGGGUCGUCUCGUCCAACAAUACCGCCGAACCAAAGUAUGACAUGCUGGUAGGCGGUAUGACUUGUAUCAUCCACAACUCACUUGUGUUCUACUCGUGCAUAUAACAUCAACAUAAAUAACCUAGGCUCGGAUGCCACUGUUGGGUUCUACUCGUGCAUAUAACAUCAACAUCGGGAGAGUGUUGUCUACGUACCCAACGCAGACCGACUGCGGAAGCGCUGACACGACGUAGAGGAAGUAGUCGUACGUCUUCACGAUCCAACCGAUCAAGCACCGAAACUACGGCACCUCUGAGUUCGAGCACACGUUCAGCUCGAUGACGAUCCCCGGACUCCGAUCCAGCAAAGUGUCGGGGAAGAGUUCCGUCAGCACGACGGCGUGGUGACGAUCUUGAUGUACUACAGCAGCAGGGCUUCGCCUAAACUCCGCUACAGUAUUAUCGAGGAAUAUGGUGGCAGGGGGCACCGCACAUGGCUAAGGAAUAGAUCACGUGGAUCAACUUGUGUGUUUCUGGGGUGCCUCUGCCUCAGUAUAUAAAGGAGCCAAGGGGGGAGGGGGUGCCGGCCAAGGAGGAGGGCGCAGGAGGAGUCCUACUCCUUCCGGGAGUAGGACUCCCCUCCAAUCCUAUUCCAACUAGGAUUCCCCAAAGUGGGAAAGAGGGAGAGGGGGGCCGGCCACCUUCUCCUAGUCCUAAUAGGACCAGGGGAGGGGGAAGUGGCGCAGCCACCUUGGGCUGCCCCUUUCUCCUUUCCACUAAGGCCCAUGAAGGCCCAUAUGGUUCCUGGGGGGUUCCGGUAACCUCCCGGUAACCCGGUAAAAUCCCGAUUUCACCCGGAACACUUCCGAUGUCCAAAUAUAGGCUUCCAAUAUAUCAAUCUUUACGUCUCGACCAUUUCGAGACUCCUCGUCAUGUCCGUGAUCACAUCCGGGACUCCGAACAACCUUCGGUACAUCAAAAUGCAUAAACUCAUAAUAUAACUGUCAUCAUAACCUUAAGCGUGCGGACCCUACGGGUUCGAGAACAAUGUAGACAUGACCGAGACACACGUCUCCGGUCAAUAACCAAUAGCAGGACCUGGAUGCCCAUAUUGGCUCCUACAUAUUCUACGAAGAUCUUUAUCGGUCAGACCGCAUAACAACAUACGUUGUUCCCUUUGUCAUCGGUAUGUUACUUGCCCGAGAUUCGAUCGUCGGUAUCCAAUACCUAGUUCAAUCUCGUUACCGGCAAGUCUCUUUACUCGUUCCGUAAUACAUCAUCUCACAACUAACAUAUUAGUUGUAAUGCUUGCAAGGCUUAUGUGAUGUGUAUUACCGAGAGGGCCCAGAGAUACCUCUCCGACAAUCGGAGUGACAAAUCCUAAUCUCGAAAUACGCCAAACCAACAUCUACCUUUGGAGACACCUGUAAUGCUCCUUUAUAAUCACCCAGUUGCGUUGUGACAUUUGGUAGCACCCAAAGUGUUCCUCCGGCAAACGGGAGUUGUAUAAUCUCAUAGUCAUAGGAACAUGUAUAAGUCAUGAAGAAAGCAAUAGCAACAUACUAAACGAUCGGGUGCUAAGCUAAUGGAAUGGGUCAUGUCAAUCAGAUCAUUCAACUAAUGAUGUGACCUCGUUAAUCAAAUAACAACUCAUUGUUCAUGAUCAGGAAACAUAACCAUCUUUGAUUAACGAGCUAGUCAAGUAGAGGCAUACUAGUGACACUUUGUUUGUCUAUGUAUUCACACAUGUAUUAUGUUUCCGGUUAAUACAAUUCUAGCAUGAAUAAUAAACAUUUAUCAUGAUUAUAAGGAAAUAAAUAAUAACUUUAUUAUUUCCUCUAGGGCAUAUUUCCUUCACCUGCGAGCGCAGAACUGUUGCACCAUGCGUAGGUGAGGCGGUAGCUUGCUGUCGAAAGCUGGUUGAGUGCAUGCCAGUUGUGGGAAGCCGUUGUUAGGUGAGGUUGUUCCCGGGUCUUGGUCAUCCGUCGUUGUCGGAUGUCUUGGUAGGACAUUUGCUGAACUUGUGGGCGCCGAAGGAGGAUGCAGUCCUUCAGUACAAAGUACAAAGAUUUGCAUGCCACCACCGAGCCCAAGCCUUGCUUGAUAGGUCUUCUUGUUGACAUUCUUCUUUACGAAGAUGUGCAUACCACCACCAGGGAGCAUGAUGGCACGCAGUUCUUCUCUCUUCUUGAGCUGGAACCGUGGCGAUCAUGAGGCGCACGGUUGGUGCAUGACGCAUCUUGUCACGACAUCAAUAAGAUGUGAACCAUACUUGAGCGGCUGGAGGGAGGAAGAAGCUUUUGUGAGGGUGUGGAUUAGGGCUGGAAGAAGAAGAUGAUGGAGAACGGCUGGAUUUUGAUCCCCGGGCUAACAAAAUUGAAUGAUUUUUUUUCCAGGCAAAUGUCAAGUAGUCACCGGCCAAUUUUCCUAAUUUCCCCAAUUUUGCAAGUACGCGCACCACAUGUUGAUGCAAGCAAGCUACUGGCUCCCAUGUCCCAAUCACAAGGAGAUACAUACAUUAUUCUUCAUUCCCUCUCCAAUUGAUGCACUGAUCGCAAAAAUAUUAUUUUUCAACGAGACAUGCAUGCAAACAUAAAGAUCCGUAUCGAUCCAUUAAUUCGUCAAACUACUCGAAAUAAUUAUAUAGCGGUGUUAGUUGUUGCCCAGCAAGGCUGUUUAUCUGACUGAAACGAAGAAAACAACAGUGCUCCAAAUGUUAAUCUUGUUUAGUUGUUUAGCAAGGGGAAAAAGACAAGAAUGCUAAAUUGCUAGUAGCACUUGUCAUUUUAUUCUAGCGUCUCUGAUGAUCUGGUCACAGUAUAAGGCUGGCCAUAGUGGGGGUAAUAUAAGGUUGGUUGUAAUGAGGAGUAUCAUAUACCAGUACUCCCUCCAUUUUUAUUUAGUCCGCGUAUUAGCUUUAGUCAAAGUCAAGCUUUCUAAACUUUGACCAAAUCUAUAAACAAAAAUAUUAACAUAUACAAUAACAAACCUAUACCAUUAGAUUUAUUAUUAAAUGUACUUUCACAACAUAUAGAUUUCUUAUAGGAAAUGUUUGUACUUUUUUCUUAAAAUUUGGUCAAACUUUACAAAGUUUGACUUCAGUCAACUCUAAUAUGCAGAGUAAAUAAAAACGGAGGGAGUAUCAUGCAUAUGAUACUAAUCUAUGAUACUACUCCCUCCGGUCCUUUUUACUCCGCACAUUAGCUUUGUCUGAAGUCAAAGUUUGUUAAGUUUGACCAAAUUUAUAUUACAAAAUAUUAACAUCUAUAACAUCUAAUAAAUAUAAUAUGAAAAUAUAUUCUGAGAUGGAUUUAAUAAUAAAUGUGUUGUUAUGUUAAUGUUAAUAAUUUUUUGUAUAAACUUGGUCAAAGUUAGAUGAGAUUGACUUCAGACAAACCUACUAUGCAGAGUAAAAAGGACCGGAGGAAGUACAUCCCUAAUGCAUAGUAUCAUAUGUUGGUAUCAUAGAGGACUAUAUUUAUUGUCAUGCAUGACACAAGUAGCACAUCAUUUAAUAUGAUACGGUAUCAUGAUAUGAUACUCAAGUCUCUCUUUCUUCAUUUAAUUCUAUGCCACCUCAUCAAAAUUGCUUAGUUGGCAUGCAUGAUACUACCUAUGAUACUCUCAUUACGGGUAGCCUAACUAGUAUCAUAUACUUGGGACUCGCAAACAUGCUUACAUGGCAGGAAAUUAAAGAAGAGAGAGAGAGUCAUAGUAACAUAGGUAGAUACCGUAACAUAAUAAAUGUUAUGGUACUAUGUGUCAUGCAUGGCAAUAAAUAAGACCACCUAUGAUACUACUUUAUGAUACUAUGCACUAUGGAUGUAGUAUCAUACACUAGUAUCAUAUGCAUGAUACUAGUAUAUGUUACUCCCCACUAUGACCAGCCUAAGAAGUAGUGCUACUACUCCAAACAAAAGCCAAAUUUACUGGAUUUUGAACACCCUUGAUGCACGCUACAGCUAUAGCUCCCAAACACGACCAGAUCUACAAUUUCCCCCUCUCUUCCUCCCCCCAUUGAUGCACCACUGGUCUGUAAGAGCAAAAGUAUUAAUGGAGAUCACAGGAUGGCAGUAAACCGCAGCAGGUACCCGCUCCUUUAAUCGUCUCCUUAACGCCCCCCACCUACCGUCGCCCAGGCCGAUCGAUGAGCUGCCACCACUUGAAUGACGCUGCCUCCCCGGCUAUAAAACCUCCCGCCACCUUUCUUCCUCCUCCACCUCCCACAGAGCUAGAAGCAGCAAGCAAGCAAGGCAAGCAGCCACUCACACACUAGCCAGGAGCAAGAGCACCAGUUCACGAGCAAGCUAGCGAUGGAGAAGUCUACCAAGAUGGUGGCGGUGCUCGUCCUCGCCGUGCUGGCCGCGGCGACCAGCGCCGAGGCGAGGAACAUCAAGACGACGGAGGCGGCGUCCGCCAGCAAGGACGCGGUCCUGCAGCCGACGACCUUCCCGCCCUUCGAUCGCCUCGGCAGCGGGUCGCCGGGGUUCGGCGGGCUCCCCGGCAGCAGCGGCAUGCCGGGAUUCAGCCUCCCCGGCAGCAGCGGCGCCACCCCGGGCUUCGGCAGCAUCGGCAGCAUGCCCUUCCUUGGCGGCAGCUCCCCCGGCCUCGGCGGCUUCGGCGGCAUGCCGGGCUCCCCCGCUGCAGCUGCCGUCGACGAGCACGCCAAGAAGCCGUGAAAAGCUGAGGGCGGCUGUUGAUAGCUAGAUCCGCUGGUGUGUGGCAAGCACUGACGGGGCGCAUGGUUGAUGGUUCGGUAGUGCUACUCGUAGCGUGCAUGCAUGGUUCUGUGGGCGCUAUACGCCGCGCGUACGUACGUUUGGAGAACUCGAUUUGUUUGUUGUGUUUGUCGCUUAAUUACGUCGUUAGGUCAAUCUCUAUCGGUCGUUCGUGUUAAGUUCUUUGUAUCUGUAGUAGUGGAGCAUGUUCUUGAGGCAUAUGAAUAAUGCUAGAUGUACGUGUCAGCUUGUGCCGUGGUAUGCAAUGAUGAAAUGAAAUGGAGUAUUAUUGUACUAGUAAUCUUUUGUUGGUUUACUUGUUAAUUACGAGCUUGACUACCAUUUGGUUGGAACAGCAAACUCGCAUUGUGUUUUGGUCGGAGUAUAUUGCUAAGCUCAGUAGUGUCGAUUGGCUGAAUGAAACUUGACGAUCUAGACAAGUUUUUCUUAAGUCCUCAUCACCAUUGGAGAUUUCCUAGCUGAAGUGCAUCAACAGAUAUCUUGAACGGUACUGGAGUAAAAAAAAUUGAAGGGAAAAAGAAAGAGAUGUCUUUAGAUGACACGAGUUGGAAGCCCAAUUAACACGGCCCAGUUAAUUAGCUACUCCCUCCGUUCGCAUCUAAAAAUUACCCCCUCUGUCUCAUAAUAUAUGCAAAAUUAUCUUAUAUUAUGAGAUGAAGGAAGUAAUACUGUACUAGUAUAAAUUAAGACCAAGACAGAGGGUGAAUAAAACACCACUGCUCGGCAAUAGUGAGAAGGAAAAAUAAAUUAUUAUCAAAACUGAAAAGAAAGAGCGCUAGCUAGCUUUGAAGUUACCACAUGGCAUUGCAGGUUGCAGCACGUACAGGCAGUACUGCUGUCGAUGUAAAUCAGCUGCAGGCUGUAGGGGUAGGGGUGGGAGUAACUAUUCUCGCAUUUAUGUACAUUACCUCAUUCUACGUAUAAGGAGUAGUAGUCAUGCCUCUGUAUCCAAACCGCUAUACAUACAACACUUGGGCCCAGUUCUUUUGUCAGAAUCUGGGAAUUCUCCCAGAAUCCGACUCUUACCAAGCUUCUCUCAGAAUUUUGAGCCCAGUUUGUUUUACAAUCCUAUCUAAUUAGACCCUAACUAGAUAGGAUUGUAAAACAAAUGUGGCUCAAAGAUUUUGGGGAAGCUGGAUAGGGGUCGGGUUCUGAGAGAAUCCUCUGAUUCUGGCAAAAUAACUGGGCAUUGUUAUUCUACCUUCGUACGACAAGAAAUCCAACGGCUUACUGCAUUUUGCCUCUAUAGGUGUGGAUUUUCCUUUCCAACAAAAACAAAGUAUGUAAAAAGACGACAUAUACCAACUGAGCUGCCCCGCGUCGUCCACGUGGGCGACACAAGCGGCCUGCAGAUCCAUUUUUUCGGCGAGCUUCUGCCUAAGCGUCCUCUCAUCGUUGCUGCCGUCGCCGCCGGGUUUGCCUGUGUGGCCGAUGGCUGUUCGUGUUGCUAUUCGACGAGGUGUGGCGAUGUAUAGGUAAUGGCUUUGAUGCAGUACAGGUGGUCAUGAUGUAGCAGCAAACAGUUCGUUCUAGGGCACGGGCGGCUGCGCGCCUUCCUAAUCUUUCACACCGUCGGGUUGCAGCAAGCGCCCAUGUGGCGGUGGAAAGGAAAGGGAGCAACACCGCCAUGUCCUUCAACUUGGAGAGCCGGUGUGCUCUAGAGGAAGUCGUCACCUGCGCCGCCGGCUGGCAUGUGUGGUGACCAUGUAGCAGAUGUUGCCACCGUCGCAAGCGAUCUGGCCUGCGCGCACCAUGCUUGGUUGGUUGGCGCUAUCUUUGUGGCCGUGUCAUCGACUCGACGGUAGGCGCCGGAAGGUCGGAGGGGCUUCGACCUUCGGAUCCGGUGAGGUUCGCGUUGAACAUGGGAGAACUGGUAGAAGAUCAAGACAAAGACUUUCAGAGGGUAGCCUACAAGGCAAGGUUCAUCACAACCUACUCAACUAAGACAAAGCCCAAAAUUGCUUGUGGUUGCACAUGGAAGCAACUAUUCAUGAAACCGGUUGGUCUUUUUAAGCCUUAACGGCUGUCCACUAGUGUGCAAUGCCAUAGGUGAAUCUUUUAAGAAAUCACAUUCUCCAUGAUGCUAAUUGUACCUCACCACUUUAUAAUUACUAUUCCAUCCACGUACCACGAAUUUAGUUGGUCUUCCUUACUACAUUAUCAUUCAUAAAUUCCCACGAAUUACACUUCACCGAAGUAUCCGCCUACUUCAGCAAAUUAAGCAAACUACAACGACGACAGACAAGUAAUUAGAACUCGGACCUACUUAUUGAACUACAGUGGGAUCAUACUUGCAUAUUUAGGAUAUAUAAAGAUGCUCAUACGUACUACUCAAAAAUAUACUAAAUGCUUAGAAAAGAUGUAGGUAAAUGGACAUGCACGAAAGAAUGUGACUUGCCUUGGUGCCGGUGAUGAUACUCUAAUUCAUUAAGUAAGCGGCUUCGCACUCCAAACAAUCUAUCAUAGAAUGAAACAAAUUUGUAAACAAUUAUAAUUAAGCAUGCAAAUAAAAUUACUUGCAAAGAUAGCAAACAAAACUCAACAAAACAUAUUAUUCCCUUUGAUCCAAAUUAAUCGACGCAACCUCUAUACAAUGUAAGUAAGAUAUUGUAUAGAGGUUACGUCAAUUAAUUUGGAUCGGAGGGACUAGUAUAUAUAGCCUUAGCUAAUAUAGGGUAUGUGCAGAAGUGCAGCUAUAAAAGCGAAAGGCAUAAAAGAUACAUCAUAUACAUGACAUAGGAAUGAUUUUGAUGUGUACUAUUAACGGCUUAGUAGAUAGGAUUUGAUCAGGCUUCCAUCAUGCAAACAGACACAACUAAAUUGGAUCUCCAGAUUGCAAGAUAUGGCUAAAAUAAUAUAUAAAUUUGAAUUUGCAUUGAUCACAUUUGAAUAAUUAAAAAUGUUAAACUAAUAGGUCAUAAGCACUCCAAGACUACCAAUUUGCAAAAUGUUCGUCUUCUUUGGAGCUACAGUUGAAAAGUUAGAAUGCUAGAAGUUUCGUGGGAUUUUCUGCAAAAUAGUGUGACACGUGGCAGCAUCAGACUAGUUGAUACCGAUUCAUGGCUAAAUAAGAUAGUCGUCCUAUUUAAAUGAAAAUGGACAGACCAGAUCAAAAGAUACCGAUUCACGCUCAAACAGAAUAACAACCGUUGGAUUUAAGUGCACAUCUAGGGCCAAGUUCAAACAACAAUUUGGCAGAAAUAAAUUCUAAUUUGCACAAUCUAUUUCUAAACAGACGAAUGAGAAUGAGAUGGGGCGGUAGUGGACAGUGGCGGCCAUGGAGAAGACAAGUGGCACGACGACUCGGGUCAAAUGUGGCAUGGUCUCCGACGGUUGUCAGGGUUAAAGUUGUCGCAGUCAUCACGGCGGUGUGGUUGGUGAUCUGGACGGGUGUGGAGUGCUCGGCGGUGCUCUGGUGUGGUUGGGUGUGCACUAUUUAGACGAUGUGGUGUUCCAUGGACAAAAACAGUAUGCCAAAACGACGCGGAGCAGCAAGGCAAGAAAAGAGAGAAAGAGAUGAUCAUAAAACUAACGACCCUCGAUGCCCAUACUGUUUUGAGAAAGGAAUUAGGCCCGGGGCCUAAAAUGGUCGCGAUCUGUUUGGUGUGUUACUGGGCUGAAACACUGUUCCGGUCUAGUUAGGAUAGGAUUUCAUAAUAAAAUUAGUCUAGAAAUUGAUUUUGGCUCAAAUAAUAGUCUAAUAUAUAUAUUUUCAGAAAAUACCAGAAAUUUGCAAAAAAUAAUACUCAUAUAGAGCCUAGAAAAAUUAUUCCCAACUCAAAGUGCAAUUUUGUAAAUUCAUUUUAUUUUAUACAGCUAGUUUGGACCAAAUAAUAAUUCUAUUUGUAGGGUUUAUUUAAUUCCCAUGACUGGAUUUAUCCACUCCAAAUGACAUCUUAACAUUUUCUCACUCUUUUCAUAAGGAAAAUAAGUGAUAUUAUCUUCUCUCUUUUAGUUCCUUGAGUGGAAAAAAAAUAAGGCAGCCCGGUGCAUGUAGCUCCCGCUUGCGCAAGGUCUGGGGAAGGUCCGGCCACUUUGGGUCUAUUGUACGCAGCCUUUCCCUAUAUUUCUGCAAGAAACUGUUUCCAUGAGUCGAACCCGUGACCUCUUGGUCACAAGGCAACGCACCAAGGCUCCCCUUGGUUGAAGAUAGUUUAAAUUUAAAUGUCCUAGAAAGUCCAAAUAUGCAUUUAAAUAAUAAGAUGUAAAUUAAUGCUUUUAUAAACGUCCUAAUAAUUAAUAAAAGUGGGAUGUUACAUCUUGUGUGGUCUUUGUGGUUGUUGCUAGAAACCCAUGGUGCUUUGAUGCCAUGGAUCGAUUCAUCAUCCACCGGAAUAAUGAUGAUGGGACGAUGUCAUUUUAGUGAUCGAAUCAUCGUUGAAAGUAAAUGAUGAGAUGGUCAUGUUUGGAGAUGCAGUUCGCCAAAGUGAAAGAAAACUUACUUCGUAUGCCCUUGUUCAGGUAUUGAAUACUUGCAGUGCAACACUUAUUGCUUCUACAAAACUCAUAGUUAGGUCUUUUGCCAUCCAUAUCCAUUUCAAGUGUCACACUGAUUUAAAUGAUCUUAUAUUUCUUUACAGAGAGAGUACCUUUUAGGAAGUGAUCUAAAUGGUCGUAUNNNNNNNNNNNNNNNNNNNNNNNNNNNNNNNNNNNNNNNNNNNNNNNNNNNNNNNNNNNNNNNNNNNNNNNNNNNNNNNNNNNNNNNNNNNNNNNNNNNNNNNNNNNNNNNNNNNNNNNNNNNNNNNNNNNNNNNNNNNNNNNNNNNNNNNNNNNNNNNNNNNNNNNNNNNNNNNNNNNUCUACAUUUUCAAUUCAUUUCCCUAUGAUUUAUACACAUUACUUUAUAUUUGGAGCUUAUAAAUUCUCAAUUUAAGAAAAUAAGUCUCAAAUGUGAAUCACUAAAAGAAAAUUAAUAGAACAAGCACAUAAACGACAAUUUUAAGAAAAUGUUUGUUUGCUUGCCCUAAUUCAGACAGCAUUUAAAAUCUCAAAUGUUAAAUCAAAUGCGCAUGUCCAUUGACCCUGCAAGUUGAAGGCACAUUCUCUACUAGUCGAGAAGUCCAUAUCACCUCUUGAAAUCAUUUUAGGGUUCAAAUUACAAUCUCGGACUUUGAUUUGGUUCAUUUAACCAUGUGAACUCUGAGAACCGUUCACUUUACAUCCCACUUCUCGCGGGUUUGUGCUAGUCUGCUGUGCCAAAUCACAUAAUUUCUCGCUCCUCUCAGCUAUAUGCCUAUGUCAUCUCUUUUUUGUCUCCUUGUAAUAACCAAAACUAAGAUAGGUUUUCUCAAGUUGUAUGCUAAUUUUAUGAACAUUUUUUAAAACCUAAAUCAGGUACAUAAAACUUUGACAAAAUUAUAGUGAACGAGGAAUAGUUCAGUGACCAAAUGUUAUUCAGAUAAACUUAAUAUUUUAGUUUCAUGUUUAAAUGUUGGGUUUAAAAAAAGCAAACUGCACACAAACAAGCAAAUAACCAAUGACCGACCAUAAUUCAGUGAACAUCUGGUCAAAUAAAGAGAAAAAUAUUUAUGCAACAAGUGGAAACAUGGAACUGCAUGGUAGAUUAGCAGGGUAACUUGACUAAAUUAGGAAGUAAUAUAUCUACUAUUUUAAAAUUAAACCAAGUCAGAGUAACUUGACUAAAGGGAGAAAACAUGACCUUCAUUUCAGAGUAUUAUGCUGGACUUUCAGAGAAAACAACUUAGGUCUGAAAAAAGAGGGAGGUGCAGACUUCCAGAUAUCAUUUAGUAACUUUCAUUAGACUUCAAAAAACAUUUAUAUCUAAUCGCAGGAAAACGUGGUGAAAAAUCAUAGACCUCUAAUUUUAACUGAACUAGUUUCAUAUACACCUAAGAAAACCACCGUAUCGUGUGGUCUUACAGAACUAUCAAAAGCAAGAAGAUUCUCUGGGCAUCAAAAUAUUGUGAAAGACUUCUGCAUUAACCCUUGUGUUAGUACUGUGAAACAUGGCUGGUAGCACUAAAUUGUCAAGCUCCUGUAGAGAUGGUUCAACACUACUUAGGAACAUUAGAAAUAGUAAAACUAAUCAAUUGAUUUUGCCUUAGAUGUAAUAAUACGCCUUUGAGAAAAAUGGUUGAACUACUUCUAGGGUUUUGUGUCUGCACACAAUUGCGACAUUAAAUGAUCCAUGUAGACUUGCUAAUAGGUAUGAAUAAUAUCCUAAGGUGAGAUUGACUUGCAAUCCUGCUUGGUACAGUACAUACAUACUGCAGCAAAUACAAAAAAUAUCUCUGUAAAUAACAACUAAAUCCUGACUUUGCCUGACAUGCACCAAGUUACGAAGUUUGUUUUGAUGUGUUCCUGUAGACGGUAGGGCUGCAUAUAACCUGUUAUGAACAAUACUUUCCCCGGUUUUUUACAUGCUUGCCUUCAUUACUACUCCCUCCGUAAAGAAAUAUAAGAGCGUUUAGAUUCCUAAAGUAGUGAUCUAAAUGCUCUUAUAUUUGUUUACAAAGGGAGUAUGUUCCUUCUGUAUCAAAAUGAUUAAUUUAUAAUACAAGGGGUACUUUCAAAUGUCAACUUUUAUUGGACAUUUUAUUCCUCGAGGAUAUGCAGGUGCAUUAACAAACUGCAAUCUUCCAAUUAGUUAUUGUCAUAUAGUACAAAUGUGUUUCAUUCAAAGUAAUAGCCUGAUAUAGGCCAAUUGCUCAAUACUGUGAUGUACCCAACAAUGUUUAUAUAACAGUAUAUAUGGAUGAUGUGGUGGUACUCAAUUAUUCCAUAGGUUAGGUUGAUUACUUAUUUCAUUUUAUAUUUAUAAAAUGAUUAAAAGCUUACCGAUUGGUCAACUGCUUAUGGAUUCAGUCUCAACUUUUCAGGUAAGUAAAAUAAAAGCGGAAACCAAUUGGAGGAUGCAAGAACAGAGAAGUACAUGACAAUAGAAAUUGAACACCUUCCAGUGCAAGAAUUAAUGUUUCAAAUGCAGCCGUAUUGUUUUACAACACUCAAGAGUUCGAAAAUGUGGCAUUCAUUCUCCCGUUUCGAAUUUUAUAUUAUGAUGAAAUGUUCCCAUAUAAUCACAUUAACACACUGCUGGCCCACUCUUAAUUGUUACGGCAGAUAUCAUCAUUGAAGUGAGUAGCAUACACUAGCCUCCACAUGUAGUGUAGUAAUUAAUACCUAUGACAAAAUUUUCGAACAGACAAUUAAACACUCAUAUAUAUUGUUUAGCAACAAUACCAUUUGCACUAGUGGGUCUCUGGUAACGGGAAUCAGGACACCGUCGGGACGGGCAUGAUGGAACCCGACGGCUCUGGCGACGCUCCGUACGACCCGGCGGCUCCACCGCCGCCCCAGCCCCCGUCCCCUCCCUCGGACCCUGGCCAUGCGCUGGUGUCCCUCCCGCCCGCUCCGUCGUCGACUCCCCCCGCCGCCCCGUCGCGCGUGGUCUGGGCGGACCUCGCCAAGGCCGACGACCUUGUCGCAGGGCGCCCCGUCGUUUGGCGCGACCGCGUUCCCCCCAAGGCCCCUGCCCGGCCGCCUCGGUCUGAUUCUGUCGGUGGCCUUACUCCCAGGUGUGGGAGUUCGGCCGCCCGCGGGUCUGCCCGGCGCCGGCGCCAACCCUCAGGCGUGUUUCGGUCGGCGGCAGGGCAAGGUGCUCCCUUGGGCUCGGGGUCUCACCCUCGGGGGCACCGCUCCGGCGGGUGGCGUGUCGUUGGCCGCGCCGACCGCGGCCUCGCGCGUUCUUCAUGGAUGGCCACUGCUCCGGCGCCGCCCUCCCCUGCUCCGGCCUGCGCACUGACGGCGUUCUCGGCGGAGCUCUCGUCGGUGGUUUUCCGGCGGUCCCCCUUCCGCCCUUUCAUCUCGGCUUUCAGCGNNNNNNNNNNNNNNNNNNNNNNNNNNNNNNNNNNNNNNNNNNNNNNNNNNNNNNNNNNNNNNNNNNNNNNNNNNNNNNNNNNNNNNNNNNNNNNNNNNNNNNNNNNNNNNNNNNNNNNNNNNNNNNNNNNNNNNNNNNNNNNNNNNNNNNNNNNNNNNNNNNNNNNNNNNNNNNNNNNNNNNNNNNGGCGACCACCAUGGCAGCGCUCGGGGAAACCCUCGCCCCUCCCCUGGUAUCCCGGGAUUCUCCUACCGGGCCGCGCUCGUCUCGGGCCGUUCCGUGGGCCGCCUCCUUGGCGCCUCCCCGCGGGCCUCGGCUUCUGGGCCGCCGCGUGAUGUGCGGGCCGUUGGCCCCUGUGUGGGCCGGUCCCCUGGACCGUCCUCACCCUUCGCGGCCCAGCCAUGCCCCUGGGUGGGCCUUGGCCCGAUCCGGCGCUCCAUCUCGCCACCGCUAGGGUUCCCCCGCCAACCAGUCCCCAACCCGACGCCUCCCGCUCCCCCCAACGAAGUUCCACCCGCCGCCCCUAGCUCCCCCCUGCUCGUCGGCGCCACCGGUCCCCUUGCACCCUCCCCUCCUCCCUCGCCGGCCAUGACCCGGGAGUGGGGCGACGGCGCGGGACGCCCCAAGCGCAGGGCAAACGACCGCCGCGCCCCCCCUCGACCCUCUCCUGAUGGUCUCCGGCGGGAGGCUGACCUCAGGCAGGAGCUCGACUCCCGCCCGGCUCGGCGCUCCCCAGCCCGCGACGCUCGCCGCUCUCCCCCCACCCAGCCCGUCGGUCCCCUGCUCGGGACGACCGCCGCUCCCGGUCCCCGGCGCGCCGCUCGCCCCCUCGGGCUGCCUCGCGGGAUCGUGGCUGGUCACCGGCUGGAGGGGGGGGGGGCUCGGCAGUCCUCCCGGCGGCGGUCCCCCUCCCCGUCGCGCCAUCGGGACCGAUCCCCAUCUCCUCCCCGACAGCAGUCCCUGACCACCGCCAUCACCGCCCCGGCCGCCCGCCGCUACCAGCCCCCUCACUCCCAAGCUGCAUUCCCGCCGUCCAAUGGGGGCAAUGGGGACCGGGGGCGCCAGGGCACCCAAAAGAAGAAGAACGGUCCCCCUCGCCCCCGACCGCCUUCACCUCCGCUGGUGCGGUGGCUCCACCUUCGGGCUCCACCCCGCCUCUGAGGGUCCGCCGUGCUUCAAUUCCGGCCUGACCGGGCACUUCCAGGUGGCAUGCCACAAACCUUCGAGGUGCUACCUCUGCAAGGAUGCCGGGCACCCCGUGAUUCUCUGCCCGGACCGCCCGGUGACGGAGGAGAUCAUGAUGUACGGCCACGGCAUCGAGGACAUGGGCUUCUUCCGCAUCGAGGUCCCGGAGAUUCCCCCUUCCCCCUCGCUCCUGGCUCUCGUGACUGUCGUGGGUGCGGGCGUCGCCAUCCUGGAGCUGAUCGAGGCCAAGCUCAACCACUUGUGCAGGUGCAAGUGGGACUGGCAGGUGACCUCCACCGCUGCCAACGCCUUCAAGGUGAUCUUCCCCGACGCUCUGAGCAUGGGACUCUGUACCCACAACAACAACAUCACCUUGGCCCUCAACGGGAUUGUGGUGAACAUCUUAGAGCCAAGGUGGGAUCCCAAGGCCGUGGCUGUUCUGGACACUGUGUGGCUCCUCAUCGCCGGCCUGCCUGAUGUGGCCCGGUCUGAGUGAGUCAUCCGCAGUAUGUCCAAGAUCCUGGGAAAGGUGGUGGUGGUCGAUGAGCUCUCUCUACGCAAGGAGGAGGAGGUCUGGGUCAAGGUGAAGUGCCUGGACUCCUCCAAGCUCCACGCCACGAUUCAGGUCUUCUUCAACAACGACAGCUUCGACCUCAAGAUCUGCCCCGAGCCUCCGAACCACAUCGGCCGCCCCCGAUUCUCUGAUGACAGCCACCUGGGGGCGGUCCAGCUCACGCCGACGACUCCCACCACUAGCGGUCCCGCCACUCCCCCCUCGACGACCCUGAGGAUGACGAGGACUUGUCAAAGCACUCCCGCUCCCUGUCCCGCGAGCCCGCCAACCCACCUUCGGGUCAUGGCUGUUCCGAGGCGGGACGUGUUGGAAAUAUGCACUAGAGGCAAUAAUAAAUUGGUUAUUAUUAUAUUUCCUUGUUCAUGAUAAUCGUUUAUUAUCCAUGCUAGAAUUGUAUUGAUAGGAAACUCAGAUACAUGUGUGGAUACAUAGACAACACCAUGUCCCUAGUAAGCCUCUAGUUGACUAGCUCGUUGAUCAAUAGAUGGUUACGGUUUCCUGACCAUGGACAUUGGAUGUCGUUGAUAACGGGAUCACAUCAUUAGGAGAAUGAUGUGAUGGACAAGACCCAAUCCUAAGCCUAGCACAAGAUCAUAUAGUUCGUAUGCUAAAGCUUUUCUACUGUCAAGUAUAAUUUCCUUAGACCAUGAGAUUGUGCAACUCCCGGAUACCGUAGGAGUGCUUUGGGUGUGCCAAACGUCACAACGUAAUUGGGUGGAUAUAAAGGUACACUACAGGUAUCUCCGAAAGUGUCUGUUGGGUUGGCACGAAUUGAGACUGGGAUUUGUCACUCCGUGUAAACGGAGAGGUAUCUCUGGGCCCACUCGGUAGGACAUCAUCAUAAUGUGCACAAUGUGAUCAAGGAGUUGAUCACGGGAUGAUGUGUUACUGAACGAGUAAAGAGACUUGCCGGUAACGAGAUUGAACAAGGUAUCGGGAUACCGACGAUCGAAUCUCGGGCAAGUAUCAUACUGAUAGACAAAGGGAAUUGUAUACGGGAUUGAUUAAGUCCUUGACAUCGUGGUUCAUCCGAUGAGAUCAUCGUGGAGCAUGUGGGAGCCAGCAUGGGUAUCCAGAUCCCGCUGUUGGUUAUUGACCAGAGAGUUGUCUCGGCCAUGUCUGCAUGACUCCCGAACCUAUAGGGUCUACACACUUAAGGUUCGAUGACGCUAGGGUUAUAGGGAAAGUAUGUACGCGGUUACCGAAUGUUGUUCGGAGUCCCGGAUGAGAUCCCGGACGUCACGAGGAGUUCCAGAAUGGUCCGGAGGUAAAGAUUGAUAUAUAGGAAGUAUGGUUUUGGCCACCGGAAGUGUUCCGGGCAUCACCGAUAGUGUACCGGGACCAUCGAAGAGGUCCGGGGGUCCACCAGGUGGGGCCACCAGCCCCGGAGGCCUACAUGGGCCAAUAGUGGGAAGGGACCAGCCCCUAGGUGGGCUAGGGCGCCUCCCACCAAGGCCCAAGGCGCCUCCAAUAGGGGAAGGGGCAAACCCUAGGGAAGAUGGGCCCUAAGGCCCACCCUAGGUGCGCCUCCCCCUCUCCCCCUUGUGGCCGCCACCCUAGAUGGGAUCUAGGGCUGCCGCACCUCUUGGGGUGGGAACCCUAGGUGGGGGCGCAGCCCUCCCUCUCCCCAUAUAUAUAGUGGAGGCAAAGGGGCAGCCCAACACACGAUUUAAUCUCCCUGUUGGCGCAGCCCUACCCCUCUUCCUCCUCGUCUCUCGUAGUGCUUGGCGAAGCCCUGCUGGAGUCCCGCGCUCCUCCACCACCACCACGCCGUCGUGCUGCUGCUGGAUGGAUUCUUCCCCAACCUCUCCUUCUCCCCUUGCUGGAUCAAGGCGUAGGAGACGUCACCGGGCUGUACGUGUGUUGAACACGGAGGUGCCGUCCGUUCGGCACUAGGGUCAUCGGUGAUUUGGAUCACGACGAGUACGACUCCAUCAACCCGUUCACUUGAACGCUUCCGCUUAGUAAUCUACAAGGGUAUGUAGAUGCACUCUCCUUCCCCUCGUUGCUAGAUUACUCCAUAGAUUGAUCUUGGUGAUGCGUAGAAAAUUUUGAAUUUCUGCUACGUUCCCCAACAGUGGCAUCAUGAGCUAGGUCUAUGCGUAGUUACUAUGCACGAGUAGAACACAAAGUAGUUGUGGGCAUCGAUAUUGUCAAUUAUCUUGCCGUUACUAGUCUUAUCUUGAUUCGGCGACAUCGUGGGAUGAAGCAGCCCGGACCAACCUUACACGUACGCUUACGUGAGACCGGUUCCACCGACUGACAUGCACUAGUUGCAUAAGGUGGCUGGCGGGUGUCUGUCUCUCCCACUUUAGUCGGUUCGGAUUCGAUGAACAGGGUCCUUAUGAAGGGUAAAUAGAAAUUGGCAAUUCACGUUGUGGUUUUGGCGUAGGUAAGAAACGUUCUUGCUAGAAACCUAUAGCAGCCACGUAAAAAACUUGCAACAACAAUUAGAAGACGUCUAACUUGUUUUUGCAGCAAGUGUUUUGUGAUGUGAUAUGGCCAAAGGAUGUGAUGAAUGAUAUAUGUGAUGUAUGAGAUGAUCAUGUUCUUGUAAUAGGAAUCAUGACUUGCAUGUCGAUGAGUAUGACAACUGGCAGGAGCCAUAUGAGUUGUCUUAAUUUAUUUAUGACCUGCGUGUCAAUAUAAAGGUCAUGUAAUUACUUUACUUUAUUGCUAACCGUUAGCUGUAGUAGUAGAAGUAAUAGUUGACGAGACAACUUCAUGAAGACACGAUGAUGGAGAUCAUGAUGAUGGAGAUCAUGGUGUCAUGCCGGUGACAACGAUGAUCAUGGAGCCCCGAAGAUGGAGAUCAAAAGGAGCAAAAUGAUAUUGGCCAUAUCAUGUCACUUUUUGAUUGCAUGUGAUGUUUAUCAUGUUUUUGCAUCUUAUUUGCUUAGAAUGAUGGUAGUAAAUAAGAUGAUCCCUCAUUAAAAUUUCAAGAAAGUGUUCCCCCUAACUGUGCACCGUUGCGAAGGUUCGUUGUUUCGAAGCACCACGUGAUGAUCGGGUGUGAUAGAUUCUAACGUUCGAAUACAACGGGUGUUGACGAGCCUAGCAUGUACAGACAUGGCCUCGGGACACAUGCGAAACACUUAGGUUGACUUGACGAGCCUAGCAUGUACAGACAUGGCCUCGGAACACGGAGGACCGAAAGGUCGAGCAUGAGUCGUAUGGUAGAUACGAUCAACAUGAAGAUGUUCACCGAUGAUGACUAGUCCGUCUCACGUGAUGAUCGAACACGGCCUAGUUGACUCGGAUCAUGUAAUCACUUAGAUGACCAGAGGGAUGUCUAUCUGAGUGGGAGUUCAUAAGAUGAACUUAAUUAUCCUGAACAUAGUCAAAAGGUCUUCGCAAAUUAUGUCGUGGCUCGCGCUUUAGUUCUACUGUUUAGAUAUGUUCCUAGAGAAAAUUUAGUUGAAAGUUGAUAAUAGCAAUUAUGCGGACUAGGUCCGUAAACUGAGGAUUGUCCUCAUUGCUUCAUAGAAGGCUUAUGUCCUUAAUGCACCACUCAGUGUGCUAAACCUCGAACGUCGUCUGUGGAUGUUGCGAACAUCUGACAUACACAUUUUGAUAACUACGUGAUAGUUCAGUUAAACGGUUUAGAGUUGAGGCACCGAAGACGUUUUGAAACGUCGCGAAACAUAUGAGAUGUUUCGAGGGCUGAAAUUGGGAUUUCAGGCUCGUGCCCAUGUCAAGAGGUAUAAGACCUCCGACGAUUUUCUUAGCCUGCAAACUAAGGGAGAAAAGCUCAAUUGUUGAGCUUGUGCUCAGAUUGUCUGAGUACAAAAUCAUUUGAAUCAAGUGGGAGUUGAUCUUCCAGAUGAGAUAGUGAUGUUUCUCCGAAGUCAUUACCACCAAGCUGCUAGAGCUUCAUGAUGAACUAUGAUAUAUCAGGGACAUAUAUGAUGAUCCUUGAGAUAUUCGCGAUGUUUGACACCACAAAAGUAGAAAUCAAGAAGGAGCAUCAAUUGUUGAUGGUUGGUGAAACCACUAGUUUCAAGAAGGGCAAGGGCAAGAAGGGAUACUUCAUGAAACAGCAAAUCAGCUGAUGCUCUAGUGAAGAAACCCAAGGUUGAACCCAAACCCGAGACUAAGUGCUUCUGUAAUAAGGGGAACAGCCACUGGAGCAGAAUUACCCUAGAUACUUGGUAGAUGAGAAGGCUGGCAAGGUCGAUAGAAGUAUAUUGGAUAUACAUUGUGUUAAUGUGUACUUUACUAGUACUCCUACUAGCACCAUGGUAUUAGAUACCGGUUCGGCUGCUAAGUGUUAGUAAACUCGAAAUAAAAGGCCGCGGAGUAAACGGAGACUAGCUAAAGGUGAGCUGGCGAUAUGUGUUGGAAGUUUUUCCCAAGCUUGAUGUGAUCAAGCAUCGCACGCUCCCUCUACCAUCGAGAUUGGUGUUUGCGUUGAGAAUAGACAUGAUUGGAUUAUGUCUAUCGCAAUACGGUUAUUCAUUUAAGGAGAAUAAUGGUUAAUCUGUUUAUUUGAAUAAUACCUUCAAUGGUCUUGCACCUAAAAUGAAUGUUUUUUGAAUCUCGACCGUAGUGUGAUACACAUGUUCAUGCCAAAAGAUAUAAGAUAGUAAUGAUAGUACCACCUACUUGUGGCACAGCCACGUAAGUCAUAUCGGUAUAAAACGCAUGAAGAAGCUCCAUGUUGAUGGAUCUUUGGGCUCACUCGUUUUGAAAAAUUUGAGACAUGCGAACCAUGUCUAUUGGUGUAUAUGCAUGAAGAAAAUCCAUGCAAAUGGACCGUUUGGACUCACUUGAUUUUGAAUCACUUGAGACAUGCAAAUCAUACCACAUGGGCAAGAUGACUGAAAGCCUCGUUUUCAGUAAAAUGGAACUAGAAAGCAACUUGUUGGAAGUAAUACAUUUUGAUGUGUGCGGUCCAAUGAGUGCUGAGGCGUGUAGUGGAUAUCGUUAUGUUCUUACUUCACAGAUGAUUUGAGUAGAUGUUGAGUACAUUUACUUGAUGAAUCACGAGUCUGAAUUAUUGAAAUGUUCAAGUAAUUUUAGGGUGAAGUUGAAAGAUCGUCGUGACAAGAGGAUAAAAUAUCUAUGAUAUGAUCAUAGAGAUGAAUAUCUGAAUUAUGAGUUUCGCACAGAAUUAAGACAUUGUGGAAAUUGUUUCACAACUAAUACAGCCUGGAACACCAUAGUGUGAUGGUGUGUUCGAACAUCAUAACUGCACCCUAUUGGAUAUGAUGCAUACCAUGAUGUCUCUUACCGAAUUACCACGAUAGUUUAUGGGUUAGGCAUUAGAGACAACCACAUUCACUUUAAAUAGGGCACCACGUAAUUCCGAUGAGAUGACACCAUAUGAACUAUGGUUUAGAGAAACCUAAGCUUUCAUUUCUUAAAAGUUUGGGGCUGCGACGCUUAUGUGAAAAAGUUUUAGGCUAAUAAGCUCGAACCCAAAGCGGAUAAAUGCAUCUUCAUAGGACACCCAAAAUAGUUGGGUAUACCUCCUGUCUCAGAUCCGAAAGCAAUAAGGGAUUGUUUCUAGAAUCGGGUCCUUUCUCGAGGAAAAGUUUCUCUCGAAAGAAUUGAGUGGGAGGAUGGUGGAGACUUGAUGAGGUUAUUGAACCAUCUCUUCAACUAGUGUGUGGCAGGGCACAUGGAGUUGUUCCUGUGGCACCUACACCAAUUGAAGUGGAAGCUUAUGAUAGUGAUCAUGAAACUUCAGAUCAAGUCACUACCAAACCUCGUGGGAUGACAAGGAUGCGUACUACUUCAGAGUGGUACGUAAUCCUGUCUUGGAAGUCAUGUUGCUAGACGACAAUGAACCUACGAGCUAUGGAGAAGCGAUGGUGGGCCUGGAUUCCAAAAUGGCUCGAGGCCAUAUAAUCCGAGAGAGGAUCCAUAAAUGAAAACAAAGUGUAGACUUUGGAAGAACUACUUGAUGGUCGUAAGGCUGUUAGGUACAUAUGGAUUUUAAAAGGAAGACGGACAAUGAUGGUAAGUAUCACCAUUAAGAAAGCUCGACUUGUCGUUAAGAUGUUUUCCGACAAGUUCAAGGAGUUGACUACGAUGAGACUUUCUCACUCGUAGCGAUGCUAAGAGUCUGUUGGAAUUAUAUUAGCGAUUACUGCAUUAUUUAUGAAAUAUUGCAGAUAGGAUGUCAAAACAUUGUUUCCUCGAUGAUUUUCUUGAGGAAAGGUUGUAUGUGAUACAACCGGAAGGUUUUGUCAAUCCCGAAAGAUGCUUAUAAGUAUGCAAAGCUCCAACAAUCCUUCUAAGGACUGGAGUAAGCAUCUCGGAGUUGGAAUGUAUGCUUUGAUGAGAUGAUCAAAGAUUUUGGGUGUAUACAAAGUUUAUGAGAAACUUGUAUUUCCAAAGAAGUGAGUGGGAGCACUAUAGAAUUUCUGAUGAAUAUAUGUUGUUGGCAUAUUGUUGAUCAGAAAUGACGUAGAAUUUCUGGAAAGCAUAUAGGGUUAUUUGGAAAGUGUUUUUCAAUGGAAAGCCUGGAUUAAGCUACUUGAACAUUGAGCAUCAAGAUCUAUAAGGAUAGAUCAAAACGCUUAAUGGUACUUUCAAAUGAGCACAUACCUUGACAUGAUCUUGAAGGUGUUCAAGAUGGAUCAGUCAAAGGAGUUCUUGCCUGAGUUGUAAGGUAUGAAGUUAAGACUUAAAGCUUGACCACGGCAGAAGAAAGAGGAAGGACGAAGGUCGUCCCCUAUGCUUUUGUCAUAGGCUCUAUACGGUAUGCCAUGUUGAGUACCGCACCUGAUGUGUGCCUUGCCACAUAUCUGGCAAGAGGGUACAAAGGUAAUCUAGGAGUAGAUCACCAGAUAGCGGUCUAAAUUAUCCUUAGAGGAAUAAGGAUAUGUUUCUCGGUUAUGGAGGUGAUAAAGAGUUCGACGUAAAGAGUUACGUCGAUGCAAGCUUAACACCUAUCCGGAUAGCUCUGAGUAGAGAUACCGGAUACGUAUAAUGGAGCAACAAUUUAGAAUAGCUCCAAGUAGAACAGUUAUUUGAAAUGGCUCCAAAUGUAGCGUAGUAGUUGCAUCUACAAGAUGACAUAGAAAUUUGCGAAGUACAUACGGAUCUGAAUGUUGCAGACCCGUUGACUGAAACCUCUCUCACAAGCAUAACAUGAUCAAACCCAGAACUCUUUGGGUGUUAGUCACAUGGGGAUGUGACCUUGAGUGUUAAUCACAUAUCGAUGUGAACUGGAUUAUUGACUCUAGUGCAAGUGGGAGACUGUUGGAAAUAUGCCCUACAGGCAAUAAUAAAUUGGUUAUUAUUAUAUUUCCUUGUUCAUGAUAAUCGUUUAUUAUCCAUGCUAGAAUUGUAUUGAUAAGAAACUCAGAUACAUGUGUGGAUACAUAGACAACACCAUGUCCCUAGUAGGCCACUAGUUGACUAGCUCGUUGAUCAAUAGAUGGUUACGGUUUCCUGACCAUGGACAUUGGAUGUCGUUGAUAACGGGAUCACAUCAUUAGGAGAAUGAUGUGAUGGACAAGACCCAAUCCUAAGCCUAGCACAAGAUCAUAUAGUUCGUAUGCUAAAGCUUUUCUAAUGUCAAGUAUCAUUUCCUUAGACCAUGAGAUUGUGCAACUCCCGGAUACCGUAGGAGUGCUUUGGGUGUGCCAAACGUCACAACGUAACUGGGUGGCUAUAAAGGUACACUACAGGUAUCUCCGAAAGUGUUUGUUGUGUUGGCACGAAUCGAGACUGGGAUUUGUCACUCCGUGUAAACGGAGAGGUAUCUCUGGGCCCACUCGGUAGGACAUCAUCAUAAUGUGCACAAUGUGAUCAAGGAGUUGAUCACGGGAUGAUGUGUUACGUAACGAGUAAAGAGACUUGCCGGUAACGAGAUUGAACAAGGUAUCGGGAUACCGACGAUCGAAUCUCGGGCAAGUAUCGUACCGAUAGACAAAGGGAAUUGUAUACGGGAUUGAUUAAGUCCUUGACAUCGUGGUUCAGCCGAUGAGAUCAUCAUGGAGCAUGUGGGAGCCAGCAUGGGUAUCCAGAUCCCGCUGUUGGUUAUUGACCGGAGAGUUGUCUCGGCCAUGUCUGCAUGACUCCCAAACCUGUAGGGUCUACACACUUAAGGUUCGAUGACGCUAGGGUUAUAGGGAAAGUAUGUACGCAGUUACCGAAUGUUGUUCGGAGUCCCGGAUGAGAUCCCGGACGUCACGAGGAGUUCCAGAAUGGUCCGGAGGUAAAGAUUGAUAUAUAGGAAGUAUGGUUUUGGCCACCGGAAGUGUUCCGGGCAUCACCGGUAGUGUACCGGGACCACCGAAGGGGUCCGGGGGUCCACCAGGUGGGGCCACCAGCCCCGGAGGCCUACAUGGGCCAAUACUGGGAAGGGACCAGCCCCUAGGUGGGCUAGGGCGCCUCCCACCAAGGCCCAAGGCGCCUCCAAUAGGGGAAGGGGCAAACCCUAGGGUAGAUGGGCCCUAAGGCCCACCCUAGGUGCGCCUCCCCCUCUCCCCCUUGUGGCCGCCACCCUAGAUGGGAGCUAGGGCUGCCGCACCCCUUGGGGUGGGAACCCUAGGUGGGGGCGCAGCCCUCCCUCUCCCCCUAUAUAUAGUGGAGGCAAAGGGGCAGCCCAACACACGAUUUAAUCUCCCUGUUGGCGCAGCCCUACCCCUCUUCCUCCUCGUCUCUCGUAGUGCUUGGCGAAGCCCUGCUGGAGUCCCGCGCUCCUCCACCACCACCACACCGUCGUGCUGCUGCUGGAUGGAGUCUUCCCCAACCUCUCCUUCUCCCCUUGCUGGAUCAAGGCGUAGGAGACGUCACCGGGCUGUACGUGUGUUGAACACGGAGGUGCCGUCCGUUCGGCACUAGGAUCAUCGGUGAUUUGGAUCAUGACGAGUACGACUCCAUCAACCCGUUCACUUGAACGCUUCCGCUUAGCAAUCUACAAGGGUAUGUAGAUGCACUCUCCUUCCCCUCGUUGCUAGAUUACUCCAUAGAUUGAUCUUGGUGAUGCGUAGAAAAUUUUGAAUUUCUGCUACGUUGCCCAACAGGACGCACCUGAGUUUCCGCCACUGACCUCGCGGUGGCUCUCCGCCUGGCCACCCCGCCGGUCGCACUCUCCGCCUCCAUCGGAGUCGGCCAGUGACAUCUCCAGUGUGGGCCUGCUCGUCGUGCCGCCUUCGUUGCCGUGCUCUCCCUCCACCGACUCCGCCCUUCACGCCUCGCCAUCGGGCCCGGACCCCCCGUCUCCCCUGGUUUGACCUCCCCGGUCCCCACGGGUGGCGGCGGGUGCACUCCCAUCGGCGUGCCUUCUCCGACCCUCCCACUCGCGGGGGACGCGGCCGGCGACAUCCUGGAGCUCGUCGCCCCACUCCCCUCGCCGGUGGACUCCGACGUCCGCCUCGCACCGCCUGCUUCCCCGACCGCGGCGGUGGCCGUUGUUGUGACCACUCGGGCCUCUGCUCACCCUCCUUCGACGGUGGCGUAUGCCAGGCGGCCCCGCUCCACCUCGCCGCCGGUGACGGCGUCCCGCCGCAGCGCCCGCCUCGAUGCGACCUGCCCGACGGACUCCUCGGCUCCGUCCAUCUCCGAGCGUGCGGAGCUUCGGGCGGCGGUCCGGAACCUCGAGUCAGGUGUGGAUCCCGCCCUUCCCAGUUCUUCCAGUUGUUCCUUUUCCGUGCUUGAGGCGGUUCCUCUUGGCCACUUCGCCAAGGUGGCCACUGACUCGAUCAUCAUCUUCAGGGGGAGGUUGGUCCCCCCUUAAAUCAUAUCACGACCAUUAGGUCUCGUGAGAUCUUAGAUGGCAAGCUGGCUGAGACUCGGGCGCGCUUGCUUUGGCCUCCCAAGGAAUCGUCCGCUACCCCCGCGGUUCGCGUUCCUCCGGUGGCCGAUGGGGUGAUCCGUGGACGCACCCGCUCUCGCGCUGCUGCUCUCCACAUGCAAAGCGCCUCCCGUGUCCUAGGUUCAAGCAGCCCCCCAAAGGGGGCUUAGAUGCGGGCCCUUUUCUGGAACAUCCACGGCUUCGGCCAUGAUGGCCGUCACCGCCAACUCAUCGAGUACAUGCGAGACGAACACAUUGACAUCAUUGCCAUCCAGGAAACCAUGCGCACCGUGUUCUCCCUCCACGAGCUCUAAUGUCUUAGUUCCCACCUCUUCGCCUGGCAUUGGCUCCCUUUAGUGGGACCACAGGCCAUUCUGGCGGCAUCCUUUUAGGGGUAAAGGAUGCCACCUUUGAGGUGGGUGGCAUGGACCGGGGUGAAUUCUUCCUUAGUAUGGAGAUCUUCGAGCGUGCUCUUAACUUCAAAUGGGAGGUCGUGAUUGUGUAUGGACCGGCGGACCACCGGCGCUCCCCAGCCUUCCUGGCGGAGCUACAUCUGAAGAUCUCCAACUCCCUCCUCCCAGUUGUAGUGGGCGGAGACUUUAACCUCAUCCGAUCCCUAGAUGAGAAGAAUAAUGACCGGAUUAACCUCCCCCGGAUGCAGUUAUUCAAUGACUGGAUCGCAGAGCUGGGUCUCUGUGAGCUAGAUCGGACGGGUGCCAGGUUCACUUGGACAAACCGUCAGGUUGACCCGACGCAAUCCGUCUUGGAUCGUGUCCUAGUUUCCCCGGAGUGGGAAUUAUGUUGCCCCCUGGCCUCGCUUCGUGCGAUUACCCGGAUCGGGUCUGACCAUGUCCCUCUCCUCCUCUCCACCGCUGACGAGCGCCCCCCACCCCGCCACGAUUCCGGUUCGAGCUCUUCUGGCUUAAUCAGGUCGGCUUGCGGGAGGCUGUCGUCGCUCGCUGGAUCUCCGCUCGCUCUUCCCCUCAUCGCGCCAUGUCCGCAGUCGACUCGUGGCACUUCUGUGCCAAGCUCGCCCGCCAAUUCAUGAAGGGUUGGGGUGCUAACCUUGGCCGGGACCUUCGAGAGCGCAAAAAGGCCCUCCUGCUGGCUAUCCAAGCCCUGGAUGCCCGUGCCGAGACGUCCAGGAUCUCCCCGGAUGAGUGGAUGCUGCGAUAUGACCUUGAAGACCAGAUCUCAACCAUUUACACGGAUGAAGAGGCCUACUGGCGACUGCACGGUACCCAAUGGUGGGUGCUUCGGGGUGAUGCCAACACCGCCUAUUUCCAGGCAGUGGCGAACGGCCGGCGGCAUCGAAACUCCAUCCACUGCUUGUGGGAUGGAGACACGCCUCUCGUUCGCCCCUCGGCCAUCCGUGCCCAUGUAGACGGCUUCUAUAAAGCCCUAUUUACCCCACCCCUCGGGGUGGGGCUAGUCUCGCCCCCGACAUUUGGUCGGGUGAUCAAUUGGUCUCAGUUGAGGCCAAUGCGGCAUUAGUGGCCCCCUUCGCCAAGGACGAGGUCCUCGCGGCUAUUAAAGGGAUGAACCCCUCCUCGGCCUCAGGACCGGAUGGCUUGCCUGUAACGUUCUUCAAAACGUUCUGGCCGACCAUCAAGCCGGAGGUCAUGGCCCUAUUUGAGGAAUUCUACUUGGGCGCCAUGGAUCUUGGGUGUCUCAACUAUGGUAUCGUGACCCUCAUCCCCAAGGUCCCGGGCGCCUCCGACAUCCGCCAGUUUCGUCCAAUCACAGUGAUUAAUGUGAUAUUCCGGAUCCUGGCCAAAGGGUACACCAAUAGGAUGACCCUGCUCACUGACGCGAUUACCCAUCCCAACCAAUCCGCCUUCAUACAAGGCCGAUUUAUUCUGGAUGGGGUGCUGGUAUUCCACGAAGUCCUCCAUGAGGUUCGGAUGAAACGCCAUCGGGUGGUCUUUCUGAAGCUAGACUUCCACAAAGCGUACGACAUGGUCUACUGGCCCUUCUUGUGGGAAGUGUUGCUUUGCAAGGGCUUUGAUGACCGUUGGGUGACUCGCGUCAUGCAGCUUGUCUCCUGUGGCCGGACCGCUAUGAACAUCAACGGUGACAUUAGGCCCUACUUCCCCACCCUCUGUGGGCUCCGUCAGGGUGACCCGUUCUCGACAUUUCUGUUCAACAUGGUGGUUGAUGCCCUAGCAUCCAUCCUUGAUAAGGCCAAGGAUGCUGGCCAUAUUCGUGGCAUCGUCCCCCACCUAGUCAGAGGGGGAGGGGUCUCCCUCCUUCAAUAUGCGGAUGAUACCAUAAUAAUGGUGGAGGGCUCCGUCCAAGACAUUGCUAACCUGAAGUUCCUCCUCCCGUGCUUCCAACAGAUGUCGGGCCUGACCAUCAACUUUGAUAAGAGCGAAGUGAUGGUUCUCGGGUUCCCCCCGGAGGAAGCACGGGCUAUUGCGGACCGGCUAAAUUGUCGGUUGGGUUCUUUCCCCACGACCUACCUGGGGAUCCCCAUUAGUGAUUCACGCCUCACCAUGGCGGAUUUUUGCCCCACGGUGACCCGUAUGCAACACCGCAUUGAGCCCUGGAAAGGGCGCUGGUUGUCGAAGGUUGCUCGCGUGAUCCUUAUCAAGUCUUCCCUUGCCAGCCUUCUUUGGUUCCUCAUGAGCUUCUAUAGCCUCCGUGAGACCCUUCAUCAAGAGAUCGCCAAAUACCAAUCUAGAUUCUUCUGGGAUGGGGAGGGGGAUAAGCAGAAGUACCAUAUGGUAAGCUGGCCCGAUAUCUGCAAACCCAAGGACCAGGGUGGUCUUGGGAUCUUGUCCUCCCGACGCAUGAACAUUGCCCUCCUCACCCGUUGGCUCUGGCGCAUUGCCAAUGGCAAUGGAGGUCUUUGGCUCACCAUCAUCCACAACAAGUACCUUCGAGGACAGCCUCUUGCAUUCUGUCAGCGCUCGGGCGGCUCCCAGUUUUGGCAGGCCGUCGUCCAGCUGCUACCUAUGCUUUGCAUUGGCACGUCCAUCUCGGUUGGUACUGGGUCCUCAACCCUGUUCUGGUUUGAUCGGUGGAUUGGCGACACCCCCCUGGCCGCACGAUUUCCGGAGCUCUUCGCCAUUGCAGUUGACCCUCGUGUCUCUGUCGAGACGACCCCUAUUGACUUAGGGCGCCUCGCUUUCCGCCGCCCCUUUGGCCCUCCUAAAGUUGCCUCUUGGGAUGCCCUCCUUCAGGACAUCCCCUCCUCCCUAUGGACGGCGCUGUCACCCCGGACGCCAUCUCUUGGCAUCUGGAACCUUUCGGCUACUUCUCCACCAAAUCCCUCUACGCGGCCAUCGCCCCUCGAUGGCCCCCGAGCCCUUUAGUUUGAUUUGGGACAUCCGCCUGCCCCUGAAGAUCAGGAUCUUCCUGUGGCAAUGGAUCCGAGGCCGCCUCUCAUCUGGUGUGGAGGUCCUUAAGAGUAAUGGACCUGGGGAUGGGAUGUGCCCCAUGUGUGACACGGUGGAGGAUGCUAACCACAUCUUCUUCUCGUGCUCCACGGCUCAGUUCCUUUGGUCCUGUUUCCGCGAGACGGUUGGGGGCCAGUGGUGCAACACCAACUUCCAUGACCUGCUUGCGUCACCUGCUCGCUAACAUCGGCACCUGCAAACUGCUUUUGGAAGAAUCUGUGAGUCACGGGGACUCAGCAAUCUCACACCCUUGCGAUCAAGACUAUUUAAGCUUAUAGGUAGGGUAAAAGGUAUGAGGUGGAGCUGCAGCAAGCGACUAGCAUUUAUGGUGGCUAACAUACGCAAAUGAGAGCGAGAAGAGAAGGCAAAAGCAUGGUCGAACAACUAUGUUCAAGAAGUGAUCCUAGAACAACCUACGUCAAGCAUAACUCCAACAUCGUGUUCACUUCUUGGACUCCGCCGGAAAGAGACCAUCACGGUUACACACGCGGUUGAUGUAUUUUAAUUAAGGUCAACUUCAGGUUUUCUACAACUGGACAUUAACAAAUUCCCAUCUGCCCAUAACCGCGGGCAUGACUUUCGAAAGUUCAGUCCCUGCAGGGUGUCCCAACUUAGCCCAUCACAAGCUCUCAUGGUCAACGAAGGAUAUUCCUUCUCCCAAGACAAUCCGAUCAGGCUCGGCAUCCAGGUUACAAGACAUCCUCGACAAUGGUAAAACAAGUCCAGCAACACCACCCGAAUGUGCCGACAAAUCCUGAUAGGAGCUGCACAUAUCUCAUUCUCAGGUCACACUCAGAUAGGUCAAGCUACGAGUAAAACCAACCCUCGAGUUUCCCCGAGGUGGCCCCGCAGGCUGCCCAUUUCGGACCAACACUUAGAGAAGCACUGGCCCGGGGGGUUAAAAUAAAGAUGACCCUUGGGUCCGCGAAACCUAAGGGAAAAAGGCUAGGUGGCGAAUGGUAAAACCAAUGUUGGGCAUUGCUGGAGGAGUUUUAUUCAAGGUGAACUGUCAAGGGGUUCCCAUUAUAACCCAACCGCGUGAGGAACGCAAAAUCUGGGAACAUAACACCGAUAUGACAGAAACUAGGGCAACAAGAGUGGAACAAAACACCAGGCAUAAGGCCGAGCCUUCCACCCUUUACCAAGUAUAUGGAUGCAUUAAUUAAAUAAGAGGUAUUGUGAUAUCCCAACAAGUAAACAUGUUCCAACAAGGAACAACAUCUCCCCUUGGUUGAAGAUAGUUUAAAUUUAAAUGUUCUAGAAAGUCCAAAUAUGCAUUUAAAUAAUAAGAUGUAAAUUAAUGCUUUUAUAAACGUCCUAAUAAUUAAUAAAAGUGGGAUGUUACAUCUUGUGUGGUCUUUGUGGUUGUUGCUAGAAACCCAUGGUGCUUUGAUGCCAUGGAUCGAUUCAUCAUCCACCGGAAUAAUGAUGAUGGGACGAUGUCAUUUUAGUUAUCGAAUCAUCGUUGAAAGUAAAUGAUGAGAUGGUCAUGUCUGGAGAUGCAGUUCGCCAAAGUGAAAGAAAACUUACUUCGUAUGCCCUUGUUCAGGUAUUGAAUACUUGCAGUGCAACACUUAUUGCUUCUACAAAACUCAUAGUUAGGUCUUUUGCCAUCCAUAUCCAUUUCAAGUGUCACACUGAUCUAAAUGAUCUUAUAUUUCUUUACAGAGAGAGUACCUUUUAGGAAGUGAUCUAAAUGGUUGUAUAUUUCUUUACCGAGGGGGGGGGGNNNNNNNNNNNNNNNNNNNNNNNNNNNNNNNNNNNNNNNNNNNNNNNNNNNNNNNNNNNNNNNNNNNNNNNNNNNNNNNNNNNNNNNNNNNNNNNNNNNNNNNNNNNNNNNNNNNNNNNNNNNNNNNNNNNNNNNNNNNNNNNNNNNNNNNNNNNNNNNNNNNNNNNNNNNNNNNNNNNNNNNNNNNNNNNNNNNNNNNNNNNNNNNNNNNNNNNNNNNNNNNNNNNNNNNNNNNNNNNNNNNNNNNNNNNNNNNNNNNNNNNNNNNNNNNNNNNNNNNNNNNNNNNNNNNNNNNNNNNNNNNNNNNNNNNNNNNNNNNNNNNNNNNNNNNNNNNNNNNNNNNNNNNNNNNGUAGUUCUACAUUUUCAAUUCAUUUCCCUAUGAUUUAUACACAUUACUUUAUAUUUGGAGCUUAUAAAUUCUCAAUUUAAGAAAAUAAGUCUCAAAUGUGAAUCACUAAAAGAAAAUUAAUAGAACAAGCACAUAAACGACAAUUUUAAGAAAAUGUUUGUUUGCUUGCCCUAAUUCAGGCAACAUUUAAAAUCUCAAAUGUUAAAUCAAAUGCGCAUGUCCAUUGACCCUGCAAGUUGAAGGCACAUUCUCUACUAGUCGAGAAGUCCAUAUCACCUCUUGAAAUCAUUUUAGGGUUCAAAUUACAAUCUCGGACUUUGAUUUGGUUCAUUUAACCAUGUGAACUCUGAGAACCGUUCACUUUACAACCCACUUCUCGCGGCUUUGUGCUAGUCUGCUAUGCCAAAUCACAUAAUUUCUCUCUCCUCUCAGCUAUAUGCCUAUGUCAUCUCUUUUUUGUCUCCUCGUAAUAACCAAAACUAAGAUAGGUUUUUCUCAAGUUGUAUGCUAAUUCUAUGAACAUUUUUUUAAACCUAAAUCAGGUACAUAAACUUUGACAAAAUUAUAGUGAACGAGGAAUAGUUCAGUGACCAAAUGUUAUUCAGAUAAACUUAAUAUUUUAGUUUCAUGUUUAAAUGAUGGGUUUAAAAAAGCAAACUGCACACAAACAAACAAAUAACCAAUGACCGACCAUAAUUCAGUGAACAUCUGGUCAAAUAAAGAGAAAAAUAUUUAUGCAACAAGUGGAAACAUGGAACUGCAUGGUAGAUUAGCAGGGUAACUUGACUAAAUUAGGAAGUAAUAUAUCUACUAUUUUAAAAUUAAACCAAGUCAGAGUAACUUGACUAAAGGGAGAAAACCUGACCUUCAUUUUAGAGUAUUAUGCCGGACUUUCAGAGAAAACAACUUAGGUCUGAAAAAAGAGGGAGAUGCAGACUUCCAGAUGUCAUUUAGUAACUUUCAUUAGACUUCAAAAAACAUUUAUAUCUAAUCGCAGGAAAACGUGGUGAAAAAUCAUAGACCUCUAAUUUUAACUGAACUAGUUUCAUAUACACCUAAGAAAACCACCGUAUCGUGUGGUCUUAUAGAACUAUCAAAAGCAAGAAGAUUCUAUGGGCAUCAAAAUAUUGCGAAAGACUUCUGCAUUAACCCUUGUGUUAGUACUGUGAAGCAUGGCUGGUAGCACUAAAUUGUCAAGCUCCUGUAGAGAUGGUUCAACACUACUUAGGAACAUUAGAAAUAGUAAAACUAAUCAAUUGAUUUUGCCUUAGAUGUAAUAAUACGCCUUUGAGAAAAAUGGUUGAACUACUUCUAGGGUUUUGUGUCUGCACACAAUUGCGACAUUAAAUGAUCCAUGUAGACUUGCUAAUAGGUAUGAAUAAUAUCCUAAGGUGAGAUUGACUUGCAAUCCUGCUUGGUACAGUACAUACAUACUGCAGCAAAUACAAAAAAUAUCUCUGUAAAUAACAACUAAAUCCUGACUUUGCCUGACAUGCACCAAGUUCCGAAGUUUGUUUUGAUGUGUUCCUGUAGACGGUAGGGCUGCAUAUAACCUGUUAUGAACAAUACUUUCCCUGGUUUUUUACAUGCUUGCCUUCAUUACUACUCCCUCCGUAAAGAAAUAUAAGAGCGUUUAGAUUCCUAAAGUAGUGAUCUAAAUGCUCUUAUAUUUGUUUACAAAGGGAGUAUGUUCCUUCUGUAUCAAAAUGAUUAAUUUAUAAUACAAGGGGUACUUUCAAAUGUCAACUUUUAUUGGACAUUUUAUUCCUCGAGGAUAUGCAGGUGCAUUAACAAACUGCAAUCUUCCAAUUAGUUAUUGUCAUAUAGUACAAAUGUGUUUCAUUCAAAGUAAUAGCCUGAAAUAGGCCAAUUGCUCAAUACUGUGAUGUACCCAACGAUGUUUAUAUAACAGUAUAUAUGGAUGAUGUGGUGGUACUCAAUUAUUCCAUAGGUUAGGUUGAUUACUUAUUUCAUUUUAUAUUUAUAAAAUGAUUAAAAGCUUACCGAUCGGUCAACUGCUUAUGGAUUCAGUCUCAUCUUUUCAGGUAAGUAAAAUAAAAGCAGAAACCAAUUGGAGGAUGCAAGAACAGAGAAGUACAUGACAAUAGAAAUUGAACACCUUCCAGUGCAAGAAUUAUUGUUUCAAAUGCAGCCGUAUUGUUUUACAACACUCAAGAGUUCGAAAAUGUGGCAUUCAUUCUACCGUUUCGAAUUUCAUAUUAUGAUGAAAUGUUCCCAUAUAAUCACAUUAACACACUCCUGGCCCACUCUUAAUUGUUACGGCAGAUAUCAUCAUUAAAGUGAGUAGCAUACACUAGCCUGCACAUGUAGUGUAGUAAUUAAUACCUAUGACAAAAUUUUUGAACAGACAAUUAAACACUCAUAUAUAUUGUUUAGCAACAAUACCAUUUCCACUAGUGGGUCUCUGGUAACGGGAAUCAGGACACCGCCGGGACGGGCAUGAUGGAACCCGACGGCUCUGGCGACGCUCCGUGCGACCCGGCGGCUCCACCGCCGCCCCAGCCCCCGUCCCCUCCCUCGGACCCUGGCCAUGCGCUGGUGUCCCUCCCGCCCGCUCCGCAUCGACUCCCCCCACCGCCCCGUCGCACGUGGUCUAGGCGGACCUCGCCAAGGCCGACGACCUUGUCGUAGGGCGCCCCGUCAUUUGGCGCGACCGCGUUCCCCCCAAGGCCCCUGCCCGGCCGCCUCGGUCUGAUUCUGUCGGUGGCCUUACUCCCAGGUGUGGGAGUUCGGCCGCCCGCGGGUCUGCCCAGCGCCGGCGCCAACCCUCAGGCGUGUUUCGGUCGGCGGCAGGGCAAGGUGCUCCCUUGGGCUCGGGGUCUCGCCCUCGGGGGCGCCGCUCCGGCGGGUGGCGUGUCGUUGGCCGCGCCGACCGUGGCCUCGCGCGUUCUUCAUGGAGGGCCACUGCUCCGGCGCCGUCCUCCCCUGCUCCGUCCUGCGCACUGACGGCUUUCUCAGCGGAGCUCUCGUCGGUGGUUUUCCGGCGGUCCCCCUUCCGCCCUUUCAUCUCGGCUUUCAGCGCCGCCGCCCCCGCCUCCUGGUGCCCAGCGCGGCCCGUCCUGGCCUCGCCGCCCCCGCCCUACCCCAUCGGCGACCAUCGUGGCGGCGCUCGGGGAAACCCUUGCCCCUCCCCUGGUCUCCCGGGCUUCUCCUAUCGGGCCGCGCUCGUCUCGGGCCGUUCCGUGGGCCGCCUCCUUGGUGCCUCCCCGCGGGCCUCGGCUUCUGGGCCGCCACGUGAUGUGCGGGCCGUUGGCCCCUGUGUGGGCUGGUCCCCUGGACCGUCCUCACCCUCCGCGGCCCAGCCAUGCCCCUGGGUGGGCCUUGGCCCGAUCCGGCGCUCCAUCUCGCCACCGCUAGGGUUCCCCCGCCAACCAGUCCCCAACCCGACGCCUCCCACUCCCCCCGACGAAGUUCCACCCGCCGCCCCUAGCUCCCCCCUGCUCGUCGGCGCCACCGGUCCCCUUGCACCCUCCCCACCUCCCUCGCCGGCCAUGACCCUGGAGUAGGGCAACGGUGCGGGACGCCCCAAGCGCAGGGCACACAACCGCCGCGCCCCCCCUCGACCCUCUCCUGAUGGUCUCCGGCGGGAGGCUGACCUCAGGCAAGAGCUCGACUCCCGCCCGGCUCGGCGCUCCCCAGCCCGCGACGCUCGCCGCUCUCCCCCCACCCAGCCCGCCGGUCCCCUGCUCGGGACGACCGCCGCUCCCGGUCCCCGGCGCGCCGCUCGCCCCCUCGGGCUGCCUCGCGGGAUCGCGGCUGGUCACCGGCUGGAGGGGGGGGGCUCGGCAGUCCUCCCGGCGGCGGUCCCCCUCCCCGUCGCGCCAUCGGGACCGAUCCCCAUCUCCUCCCCGACAGCAGUCCCUGACCACCACCAUCACCGCCCCGGCCGCCCGCCGCUACCAGCCCCCUCACUCCCAAGCUGCAUUCCCGCCGUCCAAUGGGGGCAAUGGGGACCGGGGGCGCCAGGGCACCCAAAAGAAGAAGAAGGGUCCCCCUCGCCCUCGACCGCCUCCACCUCCGCUGGCGCGGUGGCUCCACCUCCGGGCUCCACCCCGCCUCUAAGGGUCCGCCGUGCUUCAAUUCCGGCCUGACCGGGCACUUCCAGGUGGCAUGCCACAACCCUCCGAGGUGCUACCUCUGCAAGGAUGCCGGGCACCCCGUGAUUCUGUGCCCGGACCGCCCGGUGACGGAGGAGAUCAUGAUGUACGACCACGGCAUCGAGGACAUGGGCUUCUUCCACAUCGAGGUCCCGGAGAUUCCCCCUCCCCCCUCGCUCCUGGCUCUCGUGACUGUCGUGGAUGCGGGCGUCGCCACCCUGGAGCUGAUCGAGGCCGAGCUCAACCACUUGUGCAGUUUCAAGUGGGACUGGCAGGUGACCUCCAUCGCUGCCAACGCCUUCAAGGUGAUCUUCCCCGACGCUCUGAGCAUGGGACUCUGUACCCACAACAACAACAUCACCUUGGACCUCAACGGGAUUGUGGUGAACAUCUCAGAGCCAAGGUGGGAUCCCAAGGCCGUGGCUGUUCUGGACACUGUGUGGCUCCUCAUCGCCGGCCUGCCUGAUGUGGCCCGGUCUGAGUGAGUCAUCCGUAGUAUGUCCAAGAUCCUGGGAAAGGUGGUGGUGGUCGAUGAGCUCUCUCUACGCAAGGAGGAGGAGGUCCGGGUCAAGGUGAAGUGCCUGGACUCCUCUAAGCUCCACGCCACGAUUCGGGUCUUCUUCAACGACGACAGCUUCGACCUCAAGAUCUGCCCCGAGCCUCCGAACCACAUCGGCCGCCCCCGAUUCUCUGAUGACAGCCACCUGGGGGCGGUCCAGCUCACGCCGACAACUCCCACCACUGGCGGUCCCGCCACUCCCGCCUCGACGACCCUGAGGAUGACGAGGACUUGUCAAAGCACUCCCGCUCCCCGUCCCGCGAGCCCGCCAACCCACCUUCGGGUCAUGGCUGUUCCGAGGCGGGACGUGUUGGAAAUAUGCCCUAGAGGCAAUAAUAAAUUGGUUAUUAUUAUAUUUCCUUGUUCAUGAUAAUCGUUUAUUAUCCAUGCUAGAAUUGUAUUGAUAGGAAACUCAAAUACAUGUGUGGAUACAUAGACAACACCAUGUCCCUAGUAAGCCUCUAGUUGACUAGCUCGUUGAUCAAUAGAUGGUUACGGUUUCCUAACCAUGGACAUUGGAUGUCGUUGAUAACGGGAUCACAUCAUUAGGAGAAUGAUGUGAUGGACAAGACCCAAUCCUAAGCCUAGCACAAGAUCAUAUAGUUCGUAUGCUAAAGCUUUUCUAAUGUGAAGUAUCAUUUCCUUAGACCAUGAGAUUGUGCAACUCCCGGAUACCGUAGGAGUGCUUUGGGUGUGCUAAACAUCACAACAUUACUAGGUGGAUAUAAAGGUACACUACAGGUAUCUCCGAAAGUGUCUGUUAGGUUGGCACGAAUUGAGACUGGGAUUUGUCACUCCGUGUAAACGGAGAGGUAUCUCUGGGCCCACUCGGUAGGACAUCAUCAUAAUGUGCACAAUGUGAUCAAGGAGUUGAUCACGGGAUGAUGUGUUACGUAACGAGUAAAGAGACUUGCCGGUAACGAGAUUGAACAAGGUAUCGGGAUACCGACGAUCGAAUCUCGGGCAAGUAUCGUACCGAUAGACAAAGGGAAUUGUAUACGGGAUUGAUUAAGUCCUUGACAUCGUGGUUCAGCCGAUGAGAUCAUCGUGGAGCAUGUGGGAGCCAGCAUUGGUAUCCAGAUCCCGCUGUUGGUUAUUGACCGGAGAGUUGUCUCGGCCAUGUCUGCAUGACUCCCAAACCUGUAGGGUCUACACACUUAAGGUUCGAUGACGCUAGGGUUAUAGGGAAAGUAUGUACGCGGUUACCGAAUGUUGUUCGGAGUCCCGGAUGAGAUCCCGGACGUCACGAGGAGUUCCAGAAUGGUCCGGAGGUAAAUAUUGAUAUAUAGGAAGUAUGGUUUUGGCCACCGGAAGUGUUCCGGGCAUCACCGGUAGUGUACCGGGACCACCGAAGGGGUCCCGGGGUCCACCAGGUGGGGCCACCAGCCCCGGAGGCCUACAUGGGCCAAUACUGGGAAGGGACCAGCCCCUAGGUGGGCUAGGGCGCCUCCCACCAAGGCCCAAGGCGCCUCCAAUAGGGGAAGGGGCAAACCCUAGGGCAGAUGGGCCCUAAGGCCCACCCUAGGUGCGCCUCCCCCUCUCCCCAUUGUGGCCGCCACCCUAGAUGGGAGCUAGGGCUGCCGCACCCCUUGGGGUGGGAACCCUAGGUGGGGGCGCAGCCCUCCCUCUCCCCCUAUAUAUAGUGGAGGCAAAGGGGCAGCCCAACACACGAUUUAAUCUCCCUGUUGGCGCAGCCCUACCCCUCUUCCUCCUCGUCUCUCGUAGUGCUUGGCGAAGCCCUGCUGGAGUCCCGCGCUCCUCCACCACCACCACGCCGUCGUGCUGCUGCUGGAUGGAGUCUUCCCCAACCUCUCCUUCUCCCCUUGCUGGAUCAAGGCGUAGGAGACGUCACCGGGCUGUACGUGUGUUGAACACGGAGGUGCCGUCCGUUCGGCACUAGGAUCAUCGGUGAUUUGGAUCAUGACGAGUACGACUCCAUCAACACGUUCACUUGAACGCUUCCGCUUAGCGAUCUACAAGGGUAUGUAGAUGCACUCUCCUUCCCCUCGUUGCUAGAUUACUCCAUAGAUUGAUCUUGGUGAUGCGUAGAAAAUUUUGAAUUUCUGCUACGUUGCCCAACAGUGGCAUCAUGAGCUAGGUCUAUGCGUAGUUACUAUGCACGAGUAGAACACAAAGUAGUUGUGGGCGUCGAUAUUGUCAAUUAUCUUGCCGGUACUAGUCUUAUCUUGAUUCGGUGACAUCGUGGGAUGAAGCGGCCCGGACCAACCUUACACGUACGCUUACGUGAGACCGGUUCCACCGACUGACAUGCACUAGUUGCAUAAGGUGGCUGGCGGGUGUCUGUCUCUCCCACUUUAGUCGGUUCGGAUUCGAUGAACAGGGUCCUUAUGAAGGGUAAAUAGAAAUUGGCAAUUCACGUUGUGGUUUUGGCGUAGGUAAGAAACGUUCUUGCUAGAAACCUAUAGCAGCCACGUAAAAAACUUGCAACAACAAUUAGAAGAUGUCUAACUUGUUUUUGCAGCAAGUGUUUUGUGAUGUGAUAUGGCCAAAGGAUGUGAUGAAUGAUAUAUGUGAUGUAUGAGAUGAUCAUGUUCUUGUAAUAGGAAUCAUGACUUGCAUGUCGAUGAGUAUGACAACCGGCAGGAGCCAUAGGAGUUGUCUUAAUUUAUUUAUGACCUGCGUGUCAAUAUAAACGUCAUGUAAUUACUUUACUUUAUUGCUAACCGUUAGUUGUAGUAGUAGAAGUAAUAGUUGGCGAGACAACUUCAUGAAGACACGAUGAUGGAGAUCAUGGUGUCAUGCCGGUGACAACGAUGAUCAUGGAGCCCCGAAGAUGGAGAUCAAAAGGAGCAAAAUGAUAUUGGCCAUAUCAUGUCACUUUUUGAUUGCAUGUGAUGUUUAUCAUGUUUUUGCAUCUUAUUUGCUUAGAACGAUGGUAGUAAAUAAGAUGAUCCCUCAUUAAAAUUUCAAGAAAGUGUUCCCCCUAACUGUGCACCGUUGCGAAGGUUCGUUGUUUCGAAGCACCACGUGAUGAUCGGGUGUGAUAGAUUCUAACGUUCGAAUACAACGGGUGUUGACGAGCCUAGCAUGUACAGACAUGGCCUCGGGACACAUGCGAAACACUUAGGUUGACUUGACGAGCCUAGCAUGUACAGACAUGGCCUCGGAACACGGAGGACCGAAAGGUCGAGCAUGAGUCGUAUGGUAGAUACGAUCAACAUGAAGAUGUUCACCGAUGAUGACUAGUCCGUCUCACUUGAUGAUCGGACACGGCCUAGUUGACUCGGAUCAUGUAAUCACUUAGAUGACUAGAGGGAUGUCUAUCUGAGUGGGAGUUCAUAAGAUGAACUUAAUUAUCCUGAACAUAGUCAAAAGGUCUUUGGAAAUUAUGUCGUGGCUCGCGCUUUAGUUCUACUGUUUAGAUAUGUUCCUAGAGAAAAUUUAGUUGAAAGUUGAUAAUAGCAAUUAUGCGGACUAGGUCCGUAAACUGAGGAUUGUCCUCAUUGCUUCAUAGAAGGCUUAUGUCCUUAAUGCACCACUCAGUGUGCUGAACCUCGAACGUCGUCUGUGGAUGUUGCGAACAUCUGACAUACACAUUUUGAUAACUACGUGAUAGUUCAGUUAAACGGUUUAGAGUUGAGGCACCGAAGACGUUUUGAAACGUCGCGAAACAUAUGAGAUGUUUCGAGGGCUGAAAUUGGGAUUUCAGGCUCGUGCCCAUGUCAAGAGGUAUAAGACCUCCGACGAUUUUCUUAGCCUGCAAACUAAGGGAGAAAAGCUCAAUUGUUGAGCUUGUGCUCAGAUUGUCUGAGUACAACAAUCAUUUGAAUCAAGUGGGAGUUGAUCUUCCAGAUGAGAUAGUGAUGUUUCUCCGAAGUCAUUACCACCAAGCUGCUAGAGCUUCAUGAUGAACUAUGAUAUAUCAGGGACAUAUAUGAUGAUCCUUGAGAUAUUCGCGAUGUUUGACACCACAAAAGUAGAAAUCAAGAAGGAGCAUCAAUUGUUGAUGGUUGGUGAAACCACUAGUUUCAAGAAGGGCAAGGGCAAGAAGGGAUACUUCAUGAAACAGCAAAUCAGCUGAUGCUCUAGUGAAGAAACCCAAGGUUGAACCCAAACCCGAGACUAAGUGCUUCUGUAAUAAGGGGAACAGCCACUGGAGCAGAAUUACCCUAGAUACUUGGUAGAUGAGAAGGCUGGCAAGGUCGAUAGAAGUAUAUUUGAUAUACAUUGUGUUAAUGUGUACUUUACUAGUACUCCUACUAGCACCAUGGUAUUAGAUACCGGUUCGGCUGCUAAGUGUUAGUAAACUCGAAAUAAGAGGCUGCGGAGUAAAGGGAGACUAGCUAAAGGUGAGCUGGCGAUAUGUGUUGGAAGUUUUUCCCAAGCUUGAUGUGAUCAAGCAUCGCACGCUCCCUCUACCAUCGAGAUUGGUGUUUGCGUUGAGCAUAGACAUGAUUGGAUUAUGUCUAUCGCAAUACGGUUAUUCAUUUAAGGAGAAUAAUGGUUAAUCUGUUUAUUUGAAUAAUACCUUCAAUGGUCUUGCACCUAAAAUGAAUGUUUUUUGAAUCUCGACCGUAGUGUGAUACACAUGUUCAUGCCAAAAGAUAUAAGAUAGUAAUGAUAGUACCACCUACUUGUGGCAUAGCCACGUAAGUCAUAUCGGUAUAAAACGCAUGAAGAAGCUCCAUGUUGAUGGAUCUUUGGGCUCACUCGUUUUGAAAAAUUUGAGACAUGCGAACCAUGUCUAUUGGUGUAUAUGCAUGAAGAAACUCCAUGCAAAUGGACCGUUUGGACUCACUUGAUUUUGGAUCACUUGAGACAUGCAAAUCAUACCACAUGGGCAAGAUGACUGAAAGCCUCGUUUUCAGUAAAAUGGAACUAGAAAGCAACUUGUUGGAAGUAAUACAUUUUGAUGUGUGCGGUCCAAUGAGUGCUGAGGCGUGUAGUGGAUAUCGUUAUGUUCUUACUUCAUAGAUGAUUUGAGUAGAUGUUGAGUACAUUUACUUGAUGAAUCACGAGUCUGAAUUAUUGAAAGGUUCAAGUAAUUUUAGGGUGAAGUUGAAAGAUCGUCGUGACAAGAGGAUAAAAUAUCUAUGAUAUGAUCAUAGAGAUGAAUAUCUGAAUUACGAGUUUGGCACAGAAUUAAGACAUUGUGGAAAUUGUUUCACAACUAAUACAGCCUGGAACACCAUAGUGUGAUGGUGUGUCCGAACAUCAUAACUACACCCUAUUGGAUAUGAUGCAUACCAUGAUGUCUCUUAUCGAAUUACCACGAUAUUUUAUGGGUUAGGCAUUAGAGACAACCACAUUCACUUUAAAUAGGGCACCACGUAAUUCCGAUGAGAUGACACCGUAUGAACUAUGGUUUAGAGAAACCUAAGCUUUCAUUUCUUAAAAGUUUGGGGUUGCGACGCUUGUGUGAAAAAGUUUUAGGCUGAUAAGCUCGAACCCAAAGCGGAUAAAUGCAUCUUCAUAGCACACCCAAAACAGUUGGGUAUACCUCCUGUCUCAGAUCCGAAAGCAAUAAGGGAUUGUUUCUAGAAUCGGGUCCUUUCUCGAGGAAAAGUUUCUCUCGAAAGAAUUGAGUGGGAGGAUGGUGGAGACUUGAUGAGGUUAUUGAACCAUCUCUUCAACUAGUGUGUGGCUGGGCACAUGGAGUUGUUCCUGUGGCACCUACACCAAUUGAAGUGGAAGCUUAUGAUAGUGAUCAUGAAACUUCAGAUCAAGUCACUACCAAACCUCGUGGGAUGACAAGGAUGCGUACUACUUCAGAGUGGUACGUAAUCCUAUCUUGGAAGUCAUGUUGCUAGACAACAAUGAACCUACGAGCUAUGGAGAAGCGAUGGUGGGCCUGGAUUCCAAAAUGGCUCGAGGCCAUAUAAUCCGAGAGAGGAUCCAUAUAUGAAAACAAAGUGUAGACUUUGGAAGAACUACUUGAUGGUCGUAAGGCUGUUAGGUACAUAUGGAUUUUAAAAGGAAGACGGACAAUGAUGGUAAGUAUCACCAUUAAGAAAGCUCGACUUGUCGUUAAGAUGUUUUCCGACAAGUUCAAGGAGUUGACUACGAUGAGACUUUCUCACUCGUAGCGAUGCUAAGAGUCUGUUGGAAUUAUAUUAGCGAUUACUGCAUUAUUUAUGAAAUCUUGCAGAUAGGAUGUCAAAACAUUGUUUCCUCGACGAUUUUCUUGAGGAAAGGUUGUAUGUGAUACAACCGGAAGGUUUUGUCAAUCCUGAAAGAUGCUAAUAAGUAUGCAAAGCUCCAGCAAUCCUUCUAAGGACUGGAGUAAGCAUCUCGGAGUUGGAAUGUAUGCUUUGAUGAGAUGAUCAAAGAUAUUGGGUGUAUACAAAGUUUAUGAGAAACUUGUAUUUCCAAAGAAGUGAGUGGGAGCACUAUAGAAUUUCUGAUGAAUAUAUGUUGUUGACAUAUUGUUGAUCAGAAAUGACGUAGAAUUUCUGGAAAGCAUAUAGGGUUAUUUGGAAAGUGUUUUUCAAUGGAAAGCCUAGAUUAAGCUGCUUGAACAUUGAGCAUCAAGAUCUAUAAGGAUAGAUCAAAACGCUUAAUGGUACUUUCAAAUGAGCACAUACCUUGACAUGAUCUUGAAGGUGUUCAAGAUGGAUCAGUCAAAGAAGGAGUUCUUGCCUGAGUUGUAAGGUAUGAAGUUAAGACUUAAAGCUCGACCACGGCAGAAGAAAGAGGAAGGACGAAGGUCGUCCCCUAUGCUUUUGUCAUAGGCUCUAUACGGUAUGCCAUGUUGAGUACCGCACCUGAUGUGUGCCUUGCCACAUAUCUGGCAAGAGGGUACAAAGGUAAUCUAGGAGUAGAUCACCAGAUAGCGGUCUAAAUUAUCCUUAGAGGAAUAAGGAUAUGUUUCUCGGUUAUGGAGGUGAUAAAGAGUUCGACGUAAAGAGUUACGUCGAUGCAAGCUUAACACCUAUCCGGAUAGCUCUGAGUAGAGAUACCGGAUACGUAUAAUGGAGCAACAAUUUAGAAUAGCUCCAAGUAGAACAGUUAUUUGAAAUGGCUCCAAAUGUAGCGUAGUAGUUGCAUCUACAAGAUGACAUAGAAAUUUGCGAAGUACAUACGGAUCUGAAUGUUGCAGACCCGUUGACUGAAACCUCUCUCACAAGCAUAACAUGAUCAAACCCAGAACUCUUUGGGUGUUAGUCACAUGGGGAUGUGACCUUGAGUGUUAAUCACAUAUCGAUGUGAACUGGAUUAUUGACUCUAGUGCAAGUGGGAGACUGUUGGAAAUAUGCCCUACAGGCAAUAAUAAAUUGGUUAUUAUUAUAUUUCCUUGUUCAUGAUAAUCGUUUAUUAUCCAUGCUAGAAUUGUAUUGAUAAGAAACUCAGAUACAUGUGUGGAUACAUAGACAACACCAUGUCCCUAGUAAGCCUCUAGUUGACUAGCUCGUUGAUCAAUAGAUGGUUACGGUUUCCUGACCAUGGACAUUGGAUGUCGUUGAUAACGGGAUCACAUCAUUAGGAGAAUGAUGUGAUGGAGAAGACCCAAUCCUAAGCCUAGCACAAGAUCAUAUAGUUCGUCUGCUAAAGCUUUUCUAAUGUCAAGUAUCAUUUCCUUAGACCAUGAGAUUGUGCAACUCCCGGAUACCGUAGGAGUGCUUUGGGUGUGCCAAACGUCACAACGUAACUGGGUGGCUAUAAAGGUACACUACUGGUAUCUCCGAAAGUGUUUGCUGGGUUGGCACGAAUCGAGACUGGGAUUUGUCACUCCGUGUAAACGGAGAGGUAUCUCUGGGCCCACUCGGUAGGACAUCAUCAUAAUGUGCACAAUGUGAUCAAGGAGUUGAUCACGGGAUGAUGUGUUACGGAACGAGUAAAGAGACUUGCCGGUAACGAGAUUGAACAAGGUAUCGGGAUACCGACGAUCGAAUCUCGGGCAAGUAUCAUACCGAUAGACAAAGGGAAUUGUAUACGGGAUUGAUUAAGUCCUUGACAUCGUGGUUCAUCCGAUGAGAUCAUCGUGGAGCAUGUGGGAGCCAGCAUGGGUAUCCAGAUCCCGUUGUUGGUUAUUGACCGAGAGUUGUCUCGGCCAUGUCUGCAUGACUCCCGAACCCGUAGGGUCUACACACUUAAGGUUCGAUGACGCUAGGGUUAUAGGGAAAGUAUGUACGCGGUUACCGAAUGUUGUUCGGAGUCCCGGAUGAGAUCCCGGACGUCACGAGGAGUUCCAGAAUGGUCCGGAGGUAAAGAUUGAUAUAUAGGAAGUAUGGUUUUGGCCACCGGAAGUGUUCCGGGCAUCACCGGUAGUGUACCGGGACCACCGAAGGGGUCCGGGGGUCCACCAGGUGGGGCCACCAGCCCCGGAGGACUACAUGGGCCAAUAGUGGGAAGGGACCAGCCCCUAGGUGGGCUAGGGCGCCUCCCACUAAGGCCCAAGGCGCCUCCAAUAGGGGAAGGGGCAAACCCUAGGGCAUAUGGGCCCUAAGGCCCACCCUAGGUGUGCCUCCCCCUCUCCCCCUUGUGGCCACCACCCUAGAUGGGCUCUAGGGCUGCCGCACCCCUUGGGGGUGGGAAUCCUACGUGGGGGCGCAGCCCUCCCUCUCCCCCUAUAUAUAGUGGAGGCAAAGGGGCAGCCCAACACACGAUUUAAUCUUCCUGUUGGCACAGCCCUACCCCUCUUCCUCCUCGUCUCUCGUAGUGCUUGGCGAAGCCCUGCUGGAGUCCCGCGCUCCUCCACCACCACCAUGCCGUCGUGCUGCUGCUGGAUGGAGUCUUCCCCAACCUCUCCUUCUCCCCUUGCUGGAUCAAGGCGUAGGAGACGUCACCAGGCUGUACGUGUGUUGAACACGGAGGUGCCGUCCGUUCAGCACUAGGAUCAUCGGUGAUUUGGAUCACUACGAGUACGACUCCAUCAACCCGUUCACUUGAACGCUUCCGCUUAGAGAUCUACAAGGGUAUGUAGAUGCACUCUCCUUCCCCUCGUUGCUAGAUUACUCCAUAGAUUGAUCUUGGUGAUGCGUAGAAAAUUUUGAAUUUCUGCUACGUUCCCCAACAGGACGCACCUGAGUUUCCGCCACUGACCUCGCGGUGGCUCUCCGCCUGGCCACCCCGCCGGUCGCGCACUCUCCGCCUUCGUCGGAGUCAGCCAGUGACAUCUCCAGUGUGGGCCUGCUCGUCGUGCCGCCUUCGUCGCCGUGCUCUCCCUCCACCGACUCCGCCCUUCGCGCCUCGCCGUCGGGCCCGGACCCCCCGUCUCCCCUGGUUUGACCUCCACGGUCCCCACGGGUGGCGGCGGGUGCACUCCCAUCGGCGUGCCUUCUCCGACCCUCCCACUCACGGGGGACGCGGCCGGCGACAUCCUGGAGCUCGUCGCCCCACUCCCCUCGCCGGUGGACUCCGACGUCCGCCUCGCACCGCCUGCUUCCCCGACCGCGGCGGUGGCCGUUGUUGUGACCACUCCGGCCUCUGCUCACCCUCCUCCGACGGUGGCGUAUGCCAGGCGGCCCCGCUCCACCUCGCCGCCGGUGACGGCGUCCCGCCGCAGCACCCGCCUCGAUGCGACCCGGCCGGCGGACUCCUCGGCUCCGUCCAUCUCCGAGCGUGCGGAGCUUCGGGCGGCGGUCCGGAACCUCGAGUCAGGUGUGGAUCCCUCCCUUCCCAGUUCUUCCAGUUGUUCCUUUUCUGUGCUUGAGGCCGUUCCUCUUGGCCACUUCGCCAAGGUGGCCACUGACUCGAUCAUCAUCUUUAGGGGGAGGUUGGUCCCCCCUUAAAUCAGAUCGCGACCAUUAGGUCUCGUGAGAUCUUAGAUGGCAAGCUUGCUAAGACUCGGGCGCGCUUGCUUCGGCCUCCCAAGGAAUCGUCCGCUACCCCCGCGGUUCGCGUUCCUCCGGUGGCUGAUGGGGUGAUCCAUGGACGCACCCGCUCUCGCGCUGCUGCUCUCCACAUGCAAAGCGCCUCCCGUGUCCUAGGUUCAAGGAGCCCCCCGAUGGGGGCUUAGAUGCGGGCCCUUUUCUGGAACAUCCGCGGCUUCGGCCAUGAUGGCCGUCACCGCCAACUCAUCGAGUACAUGCGAGACGAACACAUUGACAUCAUUGCCAUCCAGGAAACCAUGCGCACCGUGUUCUCCCUCCACGAGCUCUAAUGUCUUAGUUCCCACCUCUUCGCCUGGCAUUGGCUCCCUUCUAGUGGGACCACAGGCCAUUCUGGCGGCAUCCUUUUAGGGGUAAAGGAUGCCACCUUUGAGGUGGGUGGCAUGGACCGGGGUGAAUUCUUCCUUAGUAUGGAGAUCUUCGAGCGUGCUCUUAACUUCAAAUGGGAGGUCGUGAUUGUGUAUGGACCGGCGGACCACCGGCGCUCCCUGGCCUUCCUGACGGAGCUACAUCUGAAGAUCUCCAACUCCCUCCUCCCAGUUGUAGUGGGCGGAGACUUUAACCUCAUCCGAUCCCUAGAUGAGAAGAAUAAUGACCGGAUUAACCUCCCCCGGAUGCAGUUAUUCAAUGACUGGAUCGCAGAGCUGGGUCUCUAUGAGCUAGAUCGGACGGGUGCCAGGUUCACUUGGACAAACCGUCAGGUUGACCCGACGCAAUCCGUCUUGGAUCACGUCCUAGUUUCCCCGGAGUGGGAAUUAUGUUGCCCCCUGGCCUCGCUUCGUGCGAUUACCCGGAUCGGGUCUGACCAUGUCCCUCUCCUCCUCUCCACCGCUGACGAGCGCCCCCCACCCCGCCACGUUUCCGGUUCGAGCUCUUCUGGCUUAAUCAGGUCGGCUUGCGGGAGGCUGCCGUCGCUCGCUGGAUCUCCGCUCGCUCUUCCCCUCAUCGCGCCAUGUCCACAGUCGACUCGUGGCACUUCUGUGCCAAACUCGCCCACCAAUUCAUGAAGGGUUGGGGUGCUUACCAUGGCCGGGACCUUCGAGAGCGCAAAAAGGCCCUCCUGCUGGCUAUCCAAGCCCUGGAUGCCCGUGCCGAGACGUCCGGGAUCUCCCCGGAUGAGUGGAUGCUGCGAUAUGACCUUGAAGACCAGCUCUCAACCAUUUACACGGAUGAAGAGGCCUACUGGCGACUGCGCGGUACCCAAUGGUGGGUGCUUCGGGGUGAUGCCAACACCGCCUAUUUCCAGGCAGUGGCGAAUGGCCGGCGGCAUCGAAACUCCAUCCACUGCCUGUGGGAUGGAGACACGCCUCUCGUUCGCCUCUCGGCCAUCCAUGCCCAUGUAGACGGCUUCUAUAAAGCCCUAUUUACCCCACCCCUCGGGGUGGGGCUAGUCUCGCCCCCGACAUUUGGUCGGGUGAUCAAUUGGUCUCAGUUGAGGCCAAUGCGGCAUUAGUGGCCCCCUUCGCCAAGAACGAGGUCCUCACGGCUAUUAAAGGGAUGAACCCCUCCUCGGCCUCAGGACCGGAUGGCUUGCCUGUAACGUUCUUCAAAACGUUCUGGCCGACCAUCAAGCCGGAGGUCAUGGCCCUGUUUGAGGAAUUCUACUCGGGCGCCAUGGAUCUUGGGUGUCUCAACUAUGGUAUCGUGACCCUCAUCCCCAAGGUCCCGGGCGCCUCCGACAUCCGCCAAUUUCGUCCAAUCACAGUGAUUAAUGUGAUAUUCCGGAUCCUGGCCAAAGGGUACACCAAUAGGAUGACCCUGCUCACUGACGCGAUUACCCAUCCCAACCAAUCCGCCUUCAUACAAGGCCGAUUUAUUCUGGAUGGGGUGCUGGUAUUCCAUGAAGUCCUCCAUGAGGUUCGGAUGAAACGCCAUCAAGCGGUCUUUCUGAAGCUAGACUUCCUCAAAGCGUACGACAUGGUCCACUGGCCCUUCUUGUGGGAAGUGUUGCUUUGCAAGGGCUUUGAUGACCGUUGGGUGACUCGCGUCAUGCAGCUUGUCUCCUGUGGCCGGACCGCUAUGAACAUCAACGGUGACAUUAGGCCCUACUUCCCCACCCUCUGUGGGGUCCGUCAGGCUGACCCGUUCUCGACAUUCCUGUUCAACAUGGUGGUUGAUGCCCUGGCAUCCAUCCUUGAUAAGGCCAAGGAUGCUGGCCAUAUUCGUGGCAUCGUCCCCCACCUAGUCAGAGGGGGAGGGGUCUCCCUCCUUCAAUAUGCGGAUGAUACCAUAAUAAUGGUGAAGGGCUCCGUCCAAGACAUUGCUAACCUGAAGUUCCUCCUCCCGUGCUUCCAACAGAUGUCGGGCCUGACCAUAAACUUUGGUAAGAGCGAAGUGAUGGUUCUCGGGUUCCCCCCGGAGGAAGCACGGGCUAUUGCGGACCGGCUAAAUUGUCGGUUGGGUUCUUUCGCCAGGACCUACCUGGGGAUCCCCAUUAGUGAUUCACGCCUCACCAUGGCGGAUUUUUGCCCCACGGUGACCCGUGUGCAACACCGCAUUGAGCCCUGGAAAGGGCGCUGGUUGUCGAAGGUUGCUCGCGUGAUCCUUAUCAAGUCUUCCCUUGCCAGCCUUCUUUGGUUCCUCAUGAGCUUCUAUAGCCUCCGUGAGACCCUUCAUCAAGAGAUCGCCAAAUACCAAUAUAGAUUCUUCUGGGCUGGGGAGGGGGAUAAGCAGAAGUACCAUAUGGUAAGCUGGCCCGAUAUCUGCAAACCCAAGGACCAGGGUGGUCUUGGGAUCUUGUCCUCCCAACGCAUGAACAUUUCCCUCCUCACCCGUUGGCUCUGGCGCAUUGCCAAUGGCAAUGGAGGUCUUUGGCUCACCAUCAUCCACAACAAGUACCUUCGAGGACAGCCUCUUGCAUUCUGUUAGCGCUCGGGCGGCUCCCAGUUUUGGCAGGCCGUCGUCCAGCUGCUACCUAUGCUUUGCAUUGGCACGUCCAUCUCGGUUGGUACUGGGUCCUCGACCCUGUUCUGGUUUGAUCGGUGGAUUGGCGACACCCCCCUGGCCGCAUGAUUUCCGGAGCUCUUCGCCAUUGCAGUUGACCCUCGUGUCUCUGUCGAGACGACCCUUAUUGACUUAGGGCGCCUCGCUUUCCGCCGCCCCUUUGGCCCUCCUAAAGUUGCCUCUUGGGAUGCCCUCCUUUAGGACAUCCCCUCCUCCCUAUGGACGGUGCUGUCACCCCGGACGCCAUCUCUUGGCAUCUGGAACCUUUCGGCUACUUCUCCACCAAAUCCCUCUACGCGGCCAUCGCCCCCUCGAUGGCCCCCGAGCCCUUUAGUUUGAUUUGGGACAUCCGCCUGCCCCUGAAGAUCAGGAUCUUCCUGUGGCAAUGGAUCCGAGGCCACCUCUCGUCUGGUGUGGAGGUCCUUAAGAGUAAUGGACCUGGGGAUGGGAUGUGCCCCAUGUGCGACACGGUGGAGGAUGCUAACCACAUCUUCUUCUCGUGCUCCACGGCUCAGUUCCUUUGGUCCUGUUUCCGCGAGACGGUUAGGGGCCAGUGGUGCAACACCAACUUCCAUGACCUGCUUGCGUCACCUGUUCGCUAACAUCGGCACCUGCAAACUGCUUUUGGAAGAAUCUGUGAGUCACGGGGACUCAGCAAUCUCACACCCUUGCGAUCAAGACUAUUUAAGCUUAUAGGUAGGGUAAAAGGUAUGAGGUGGAGCUGCAGCAAGCGACUAGCAUUUAUGGUGGCUAACAUACGCAAAUGAGAGCGAGAAGAGAAGGCAAAAGCACGGUCGAACAACUAUGUUCAAGAAGUGAUCCUAGAACAACCUACGUCAAGCAUAACUCCAACACCGUGUUCACUUCCUGGACUCCGCCGGAAAGAGACCAUCACGGUUACACACGCGGUUGAUGUAUUUUAAUUAAGGUCAACUUCAGGUUUUCUACAACUGGACAUUAACAAAUUCCCAUCUGCCCAUAACCGCGGGCACGGCUUUCGAAAGUUCAAUCCCUGCAGGGUGUCCCAACUUAGCCCAUCACAAGCUCUCACGGUCAACGAAGGAUAUUCCUUCUCCCAAGACAAUCCGACAGGCUCAGCAUCCAGGUUACAAGACAUCCUCGACAAUGGUAAAACAAGUCCAGCAACACCACCCGAAUGUGCCGACAAAUCCUGAUAGGAGCUGCACAUAUCUCAUUCUCAGGUCACACUCAGAUAGGUCAAGCUACGAGUAAAACCAACCCUCGAGUUUCCCCGAGGUGGCCCCGCAGGCUGCCCGUUUCGGACCAACACUUAGAGAAGCACUAGCCCGGGGGGGUUAAAAUAAAGAUGACCCUUGGGUCCGCGAAACCUAAGGGAAAAAGGCUAGGUGGCGAAUGGUAAAACCAAUGUUGGGCAUUGCUGGAGGAGUUUUAUUCAAGGUGAACUGUCAAGGGGUUCCCAUUAUAACCCAACCGCGUGAGGAACGCAAAAUCUGGGAACAUAACACCGAUAUGAUAGAAACUAGGGCAACAAGAGUGGAACAAAACACCAGGCAUAAGGCCGAGCCUUCCACCCUUUACCAAGUAUAUAGAUGCAUUAAUUAAAUAAGAGGUAUUGUGAUAUCCCAACAAGUAAACAUGUUCCAACAAGGAACAACAUCUCACCUUGGUUGAAGAUAGUUUAAAUUUAAAUGUUCUAGAAAGUCCAAAUAUGCAUUUAAAUAAUAAGAUGUAAAUUAAUGCUUUUAUAAAUGUCCUAAUAAUUAAUAAAAGUGGGAUGUUACAUCUUGUGUGGUCUUUGUGGUUGUUGCUAGAAACCCAUGGUGCUUUGAUGCCAUGGAUCGAUUCAUCAUCCACCGGAAUAAUGAUGAUGGGACGAUGUAAUUUUAGUGAUCGAAUCAUCGUUGAAAGUAAAUGAUGAGAUGGUCAUGUCUGGAGAUGCAGUUCGCCAAAGUGAAAGAAAACUUACUUCGUAUGCCCUUGUUCAGGUAUUGAAUACUUGCAGUGCAACACUUAUUGCUUCUACAAAACUCAUAGUUAGGUCUUUUGCCAUCCAUAUCCAUUUCAAGUGUCACACUGAUCUAAAUGAUCUUAUAUUUCUUUACAGAGAGAGUACCUUUUAGGAAGUGAUCUAAAUGGUUGUAUAUUUCUUUACCGAGGGGGGGGGGGUACGUAGUUCUACAUUUUCAAUUCAUUUCCCUAUGAUUUAUACACAUUACUUUAUAUUUGGAGCUUAUAAAUUCUCAAUUUAAGAAAAUAAGUCUCAAAUGUGAAUCACUAAAAGAAAAUUAAUAGAACAAGCACAUAAACGACAAUUUUAAGAAAAUGUUUGUUUGCUUGCCCUAAUUCAGGCAGCAUUUAAAAUCUCAAAUGUUAAAUCAAAUGCGCAUAUCCAUUGACCCUGCAAGUUGAAGGCACAUUCUCUACUAGUCGAGAAGUCCAUAUCACCUCUUGAAAUCAUUUUAGGGUUCAAAUUACAAUCUCGGACUUUGAUUUGGUUCAUUUAACCAUGUGAACUCUAAGAACCGUUCACUUUACAACCCACUUCUCGCGGCUUUGUGCUAGUCUGCUAUGCCAAAUCACAUAAUUUCUCUCUCCUCUCAGCUGUAUGCCUAUGUCAUCUCUUUUUUGUCUCCUCGUAAUAACCAAAACUAAGAUAGGCUUUUCUCAAGUUGUAUGCUAAUUUUAUGAACAUUUUUUUUAACCUAAAUCAGGUACAUAAAACUUUGACAAAAUUAUAGUGAACGAGGAAUAGUUCAGUGACCAAAUGUUAUUCAGAUAAACUUAAUAUUUUAGUUUCAUGUUUAAAUGUUGGGUUUAAAAAAGCAAACUGCACACAAACAAACAAAUAACCAAUGACCGACCAUAAUUCAGUGAACAUCUGGUCAAAUAAAGAGAAAAAUAUUUAUGCAACAAGUGGAAACAUGGAACUGCAUGGUAGAUUAGCAGGGUAACUUGACUAAAUUAGGAGGUAAUAUAUCUACUAUUUUAAAAUUAAACCAAGUCAGAGUAACUUGACUAAAGGGAGAAAACCUGACCUUCAUUUCAGAGUAUUAUGCUGGACUUUCAGAGAAAACAACUUAGGUCUGAAAAAAGAGGGAGGUGCAGACUUCCAGAUGUCAUUUAGUAACUUUCAUUAGACUUCAAAAAACAUUUAUAUCUAAUCGCAAGAAAACAUGGUGAAAAAUCAUAGACCUCUAAUUUUAAAUGAACUAGUUUCAUAUACACCUAAGAAAACCACCGUAUCGUGUGGUCUUACAGAACUAUCAAAAGCAAGAAGAUUCUCUGGGCAUCAAAAUAUUGCGAAAGACUUCUGCAUUAACCCUUGUGUUAGUACUGUGAAACAUGGCUGGUAGCACUAAAUUGUCAAGCUCCUGUAGAGAUGGUUCAACACUACUUAGGAACAUUAGAAAUAGUAAAACUAAUCAAUUGAUUUUGCCUUAGAUGUAAUAAUACGCCUUUGAGAAAAAUGGUUGAACUACUUCUAGGGUUUUGUGUCUGCACACAAUUGCGACAUUAAAUGAUCCAUGUAGACUUGCUAAUAGGUAUGAAUAAUAUCCUAAGGUGAGAUUGACUUGCAAUCCUGCUUGGUACAGUACAUACAUACUGCAGCAAAUACAAAAAAUAUCUCUGUAAAUAACAACUAAAUCCUGACUUUGCCUGACAUGCACCAAGUUCCUAAGUUUGCUUUGAUGUGUUCCUGUAGACGGUAGGGCUGCAUAUAACCUGUUAUGAACAAUACUUUCCCCGGUUUUUUACAUGCUUGCCUUCAUUACUACUCCCUCCGUAAAGAAAUAUAAGAGCGUUUAGAUCCCUAAAGUAGUGAUCUAAAUGCUCUUAUAUUUGUUUACAAAGGGAGUAUGUUCCUUCUGUAUCAAAAUGAUUAAUUUACAAUACAAGGGGUACUUUCAAAUGUCAACUUUUAUUGGACAUUUUAUUCCUCGAGGAGAUGCAGGUGCAUUAACAAAUUGCAAUCUUCCAAUUAGUUAUUGUCAAAUAGUACAAAUGUGUUUCAUUCAAAGUAAUAGCCUGAUAUAGGCCAAUUGCUCAAUACUAUGAUGUACCCAACGAUGUUUAUAUAACAGUAUAUAUGGAUGAUGUGGUGGUACUCAAUUAUUCCAUAGGUUAGGUUGAUUACUUAUUUCAUUUUAUAUUUAUAAAAUGAUUAAAAGCUUACCGAUCGGUCAACUGCUUAUGGAUUCAGUCUCAACUUUUCAGGUAAGUAAAAUAAAAGCGAAAACCAAUUGGAGGAUGCAAGAACAGAGAAGUACAUGAAAAUAGAAAUUGAACACCUUCCAGUGCAAGAAUUAUUGUUUCAAAUGCAGCAGUAUUGUUUUACAACACUCAAGAGUUCGAAAAUGUGGCAUUCAUUCUCCCGUUUCGAAUUUCAUAUUAUGAUGAAAUGUUCCCAUAUAAUCACAUUAACACACUCCUGGCCCACUCUUAAUUGUUACGGCAGAUAUCAUCAUUGAAGUGAGUAGCAUACACUAGCCUGCACAUGUAGUGUAGUAAUUAAUACCUAUGACAAAAUUUUCGAACAGACAAUUAAACACUCAUAUAUAUUGUUUAGCAACAAUACCAUUUGCGCUAGUGGGUCUCUGGUAAUGGGAAUCAGGACACCGCCGGGACGGGCAUGAUGGAACCCGACGGCUCUGGCGACGCUGCAUGCGACCCGGCGGCUCCGCCGCCGCCCCAGACCCCGUCCCCUCCCUCGGACCCUGGCCAUGCGCUAGUGUCCCUCCCGCCCGCUCCGCCGUCGACUCCCCCCACCGCCCCGUCGCGCGUGGUCUGGGCGGACCUCGCCAAGGCCGACGACCUUGUCGCGGGGCGCCCCGUCGUUUGGCGCGCCCGCGUUCCCCCCAAGGCCCCUGCCCGGCCGCCUCGGUCUGAUUCUGUCGGUGGCCUUACUCCCAGGUGUGGGAGUUCGGCCACCCGCGGGUCUGCCCGGUGCCGGCGCCAACCCUCAGGCGUGUUUCGGUCGGCGGCGGGGCAAGGUGCUCCCUUGGGCUCGGGGUCUCGCCCUCGGGGGCGCCGCUCCGGCGGGUGGCGUGUCAUUGGCCGCGCCGACCGCGGCCUCACGCGUUCUUCAUGGAGGGCCACUGCUCCGGUGCCGUCCUCCCCUGCUCCGGCCUACGCACUGACGGCGUUCUCGGCGGAGCUCUCGUCGGUGGUUUUCCGGCUGUCCCCCUUCCGCCCUUCCAUCUCAGCUUUCAGCGCCCCCCCCCCCCGCCUCCUGGUGCCCAGCGNNNNNNNNNNNNNNNNNNNNNNNNNNNNNNNNNNNNNNNNNNNNNNNNNNNNNNNNNNNNNNNNNNNNNNNNNNNNNNNNNNNNNNNNNNNNNNNNNNNNNNNNNNNNNNNNNNNNNNNNNNNNNNNNNNNNNNNNNNNNNNNNNNNNNNNNNNNNNNNNNNNNNNNNNNNNNNNNNNNNNNNNNNNNNNNNNNNNNNNNNNNNNNNNNNNNNNNNNNNNNNNNNNNNNNNNNNNNNNNNNNNNNNNNNNNNNNNNNNNNNNNNNNNNNNNNNNNNNNNNNNNNNNNNNNNNNNNNNNNNNNNNNNNNNNGGGGAAACCCUCGCCCCUCCCCUGGUCUCCCGGGCUUGUCCUACCGGGCCGCGCUCGUCUCGGGCCGUUCCGUGGGCCGCCUCCUUGGCGCCUCCCCGCGGGCCUCGGCUUCUGGGCCGCCGCGUGAUGUGCGGGCCGUUGGCCCCUGUGUGGGCCAGUCCCCUGGACCGUCCUCACCCUCCGCGGCCCAGCCAUGCCCCUGGGUGGGCCUUGGCCCGAUCCGGCACUCCAUCUCGCCACCGCUAGGGUUCCCCCGCCAACCAGUCCCUAACUCGACGCCUCCCGCUCCCCCCGACGAAGUUCCACCCAUCGCCCUUAGCUCCCCCCUGCUCAUCGGCGCCACCGGUCCCCUUGCACCCUCCCGACCUCCCUCGCCGGCCAUGACUCGGGAGUGGGGCGACGGUGCGGGACGCCCCAAGCGCAGGGCAGACGACCGCCGCGCCCCCCCUCGACCCUCUCCUGAUGGUCUCCGGCGGGAGGCUGACCUCAGGCAGGAGCUCGACUCCCGCCCGGCUCGGCACUCCCCAGCCCGCGACGCUCGCCGCUCUCCCCCCACCCAGCCCGCCAGUCCCCUGCUCGGGACGACCGCCGCUCUCGGUCCCCGGCGCGCUGCUCGCCCCCUCGGGCUGCCUCGCGGGAUCGCGGCUGGUCACCGGCUGGGGGGGGGGGCUCGGCAGUCCUCCCGGCAGCGGUCCCCCUCCCCGUCGCGCCAUCGGGACCGAUCCCCAUCUCCUCCCCGACAGCAGUCCCUGACCACCGCCAUCACCGCCCCGGCCGCCCGCCGCUACCAGCCCCCUCACACCCAAGCUGCAUUCCCGCCGUCCAAUGGGGGCAAUGGGAACCGGGGGCGCCAGGGCACCCAAAAGAAGAAGAAGGGUCCCCCUCGCCCCCUACCGCCUCCACCUCCGCUGGUGCGGUGGCUCCACCUCCGGGCUCCACCCCCGCCUUUGACGGUCCAUCGUGCUUCAAUUCCGGCCUGACCGGGCACUUCCAGGUGGCAUGCCCCAACCCUCCGAGGUGCUACCUCUGCAAGGACGCUGGGCACCCCGCGAUUCUCUGCCCGAACCGCCCGGUGACGGAGGAGAUCAUGAUGUACGACCACGGCAUCGAGGACAUGGGCUUCUUCCGCAUCGAGGUCCCGGAGAUUCCCCCUCCCCCCUCGCCCCUGGCUCUCGUGACUGUCGUGGGUGCGGGCGUCGCCACCCUGGAGCUGAUCGAGGCCAAGCUCAACCACUUGUUCAGGUGCAAGUGGGACUCGCAGGUGACCUCCACCGCUGCCAACGCCUUCAAGGUGAUCUUCCCCGACGCUCUGAGCAUGGGACUCUGUACCCACAACAACAACAUCACCUUGGCCCUCAACGCGAUUGUGGUGAACAUCUCAGAGCCAAGGUGGGAUCCCAAGGCCGUGGCUGUUCUGGACCCUGUGUGGCUCCUCAUCGCCGGCCUGCCUGAUGUGGCCCGGUCUGAGUGAGUCAUCCGCGGUAUGUCCAAGAUCCUGGGAAAGGUGGCGGUGGUCGAUGAGCUCUCACUACGCAAGGAGGAGGAGGUCCGGGUCAAGGUGAAGUGCCUGGACUCCUCCAAGCUCCACGCCACGAUUCGGGUCUUCUUCAACGACGACAGCUUCGACCUCAAGAUCUGCCCCGAGCCUCCAAACCACAUCGGCCGCCCCCGAUUCUCUGAUGGCAGCCACCUGGGGGCGGUCCAGCUCACGCCGACGGCUCCCACCACUGGCGGUCCCGCCACUCCCGCCUCGACGACCCUGAGGAUGAUGAGGACUUGUCGGAGCACUCCCGCUCCCCGUCCCGCGAGCCCGCCAACCCACCUUCAGGUCAUGGCGGUUCCGAGGCGGGACGUGUUGGAAAUAUGCCCUAGUAAAUUGGUUAUUAUUAUAUUUCCUUGUUCAUGAUAAUCGUUUAUUAUCCAUGCUAGAAUUGUAUUGAUAGGAAACUCAGAUACAUGUGUGGAUACAUAGACAACACCAUGUCCCUAGUAAGCCUCUAGUUGACUAGCUCGUUGAUCAAUAGAUAGUUACGGUUUCCUGACCAUGGACAUUGGAUGUCAUUGAUAACGGGAUCACAUCAUUAGGAGAAUGAUGUGAUGGACAAGACCCAAUCCUAAGCCUAGCAUAAGAUCAUAUAGUUCGUAUGCUAAAGCUUUUCUAAUGUCAAGUAUCAUUUCCUUAGACCAUGAGAUUGUGCAACUCCCGGAUACCGUAGGAGUGCUUUGGGUGUGCCAAACAUCACAACGUAACUGGGUGGCUAUAAAGGUACACUACAGGUAUCUCCGAAAGUGUCUGUUGGGUUGGCACGAAUCGAGACUGGGAUUUGUCACUCUGUGUAAACGGAGAGGUAUCUCUGGGCCCACUCGGUAGGACAUCAUAAUAAUGUGCACAAUGUGAUCAAGGAUUUGAUCACGGGAUGAUGUGUUACGGAACGAGUAAAGAGACUUGCCGGUAACGAGGUUGAACAAGGUAUCGGGAUAUCGGCGAUCGAAUCUCGGGCAAGCAUCGUACCGAUAGACAAAGGGAAUUGUAUACGGGAUUGAUUAAUUCCUUGACAUCGUGGUUCAUCCGAUGAGAUCAUCGUGGAGCAUGUGGGAGCCAGCAUGGGUAUCCAGAUCCCGUUGUUGGUUAUUGACCGGAGAGUUGUCUCGGCCAUGUCCGCAUGACUCCCGAACCCGUAGGGUCUACACACUUAAGGUUCGAUGACGCUAGGGUUAUAGGGAAAGUAUGUACGCGGUUACCGAAUGUUGUUCGGAGUCCCGGAUGAGAUCCCGGACGUCACGAGGAGUUCCAGAAUGGUCCGGAGGUAAAGAUUGAUAUAUAGGAAGUAUGGUUUUGGCCACCGGAAGUGUUCCGGGCAUCACCGGUAGUGUACCGGGACCACCGGAGGGGUCCGGGGGUCCACCAGGUGGGGCCACCAGCCCCGGAGGCCUACAUGGGCCAAUAGUGGGAAGGGACCAGCCCCUAGGUGGGCUAGGGCGCCUCCCACCAAGGCCCAAGGCGCCUCCAAUAGGGGAAGGGGCAAACCCUAGGCAGAUGGGCCCUAAGGCCCACCCUAGGUGCGCCUCCCCCUCUCCCCCUUGUGGCCGCCACCCUAGAUGGGAUCUAGGGCUGCCGCACCCCUUGGGGUGGGAACCCUAGGUGGGGGCGCAGCCCUCCCUCUCCCCCUAUAUAUAGUGGAGGCAAAGGGGCAGCCCAACACACGAUUUAAUCUCCCUGUUGGCGCAGCCCUACCCCUCUUCCUCCUCGUCUCUCGUAGUGCUUGGCGAAGCCCUGCUGGAGUCCCGCGCUCCUCCACCACCACCACGCCGUCGUGCUGCUGCUGGAUGGAGUCUUCCCCAACCUCUCCUUCUCCCCUUGCUGGACCAAGGCGUAGGAGACGUCACCAGGCUGUACGUGUGUUGAACACGGAGGUGCCGUCCGUUCAGCACUAGGAUCAUCGGUGAUUUGGAUCACUACGAGUACGACUCCAUCAACCCGUUCACUUGAACGCUUCCGCUUAGCGAUCUACAUGGGUAUGUAGAUGCACUCUCCUUCCUCUCGUUGCUAGAUUACUCCAUAGAUUGAUCUUGGUGAUGCGUAGAAAAUUUUGAAUUUCUGCUACGUUCCCCAACAGUGGCAUCAUGAGCUAGGUCUAUGCGUAGUUACUAUGCACGAGUAGAACACAAAGUAGUUGUGGGCGUCGAUAUUGUCAAUUAUCUUGCCGUUACUAUUCUUAUCUUGAUUCGGCGACAUCGUGGGAUGAAGCGGCCCGGACCAACCUUACACGUACGCUUACGUGAGACCGGUUCCACCGACUGACAUGCACUAGUUGCAUAAGGUGGCUGGCGGGUGUCUGUCUCUCCCACUUUAGUCGGUUCGGAUUCGAUGAACAGGGUCCUUAUGAAGGGUAAAUAGAAAUUGGCAAUUCACGUUGUGGUUUUGGCGUAGGUAAGAAACGUUCUUGCUAGAAACCUAUAGCAGCCACGUAAAAAACUUGCAACAACAAUUAGAAGACGUCUAACUUGUUUUUGCAGCAAGUGUUUUGUGAUGUGGUAUGGCCAAAGGAUGUGAUGAAUGAUAUAUGUGAUGUAUGAGAUGAUCAUGUUCUUGUAAUAGGAAUCAUGACUUGCAUGUCGAUGAGUAUGACAACCGGCAGGAGCCAUAGGAGUUGUCUUAAUUUAUUUAUGACCUGCGUGUCAAUAUAAAUCUCAUGUAAUUACUUUACUUUAUUGCUAACCGUUAGCUGUAGUAGUAGAAGUAAUAGUUGGCGAGACAACUUCAUGAAGACACGAUGAUGGAGAUCAUGAUGAUGGAGAUCAUGGUGUCAUGCCGGUGACAACGAUGAUCAUGGAGCCCCGAAGAUGGAGAUCAAAAGGAGCAAAAUGAUAUUGGCCAUAUCAUGUCACUUUUUGAUUGCAUGUGAUGUUUAUCAUGUUUUUGCAUCUUAUUUGCUUAGAACAACGGUAGUAAAUAAGAUGAUCCCUCAUUAAAAUUUCAAGAAAGUGUUCCCCCUAACUGUGCACCGCUAUGAAGGUUCAUUAUUUCGAAGCACCACGUGAUGAUCGGGUGUGAUAGAUUCUAACGUUCGAAUACAACGGGUGUUGACGAGCCUAGCAUGUACAGACAUGGCCUCGGGACACAUGCGAAACACUUAGGUUGACUUGACGAGCCUAGCAUGUACAGACAUGGCCUCGGAACACGGAGGACCGAAAGGUCGAGCAUGAGUCGUAUGGUAGAUACGAUCAACAUGAAGAUGUUCACCGAUGAUGACUAGUCCGUCUCACGUGAUGAUCGGAGACGGCCUAGUUGACUCGGAUCAUGUAAUCACUUAGAUGACUAGAGGGAUGUCUAUCUGAGUGGGAGUUCAUAAGAUGAACUUAAUUAUCCUGAACAUAGUCAAAAGGUCUUCGCAAAUUAUGUCGUGGCUCGCGCUUUAGUUCUACUGUUUAGAUAUGUUCCUAGAGAAAAUUUAGUUGAAAGUUGAUAAUAGCAAUUAUGCGGACUAGGUCCGUAAACUGAGGAUUGUCCUCAUUGCUUCAUAGAAGUCUUAUGUCCUUAAUGCACUGCUCAGUGUGCUGAACCUCGAACGUCGUCUGUGGAUGUUGCGAACAUCUGACAUACACAUUUUGAUAACUACGUGAUAGUUCAGUUAAACAGUUUAGAGUUGAGGCACCGAAGACGUUUUGAAACAUCGUGAAACAUAUGAGAUGUUUCGAGGGCUGAAAUUGGGAUUUCAGGCUCGUGCCCACGUCAAGAGGUAUAGGACCUCCGACGAUUUUCUUAGCCUGCAAACUAAGGGAGAAAAGCUCAAUUGUUGAGCUUGUGCUCAGAUUGUCUGAGUACAACAAUCAUUUGAAUCAAGUGGGAGUUGAUCUUCCAGAUGAGAUAGUGAUGUUUCUCCGAAGUCAUUACCACCAAGCUGCUAGAGCUUCAUGAUGAACUAUGAUAUAUCAGGGACAUAUAUGAUGAUCCUUGAGAUAUUCGCGAUGUUUGACACCACAAAAGUAGAAAUCAAGAAGGGGCAUCAAUUGUUGAUGGUUGGUGAAACCACUAGUUUCAAGAAGGGCAAGGGUAAGAAGGGAUACUUCAUGAAACGGCAAAUCAGCUGAUGCUCUAGUGAAGAAACCCAAGGUUGAACCCAAACCCGAGACUAAGUGCUUCUGUAAUAAGGGGAACAGCCACUGAAGCAGAAUUACCCUAGAUAUUUGGUAGAUGAGAAGGCUGGCAAGGUCGAUAGAAGUAUAUUGGAUAUACAUUGUGUUAAUGUGUACUUUACUAGUACUCCUAGUAGCACCAUGGUAUUAGAUACCGGUUUGGCUGCUAAGUGUUAGUAAACUCGAAAUAAAAGGUUGCGGAGUAAACAGAGACUAGCUAAAGGUGAGCUGGCGAUAUGUGUUGGAAGUUUUUCCCAAGCUUGAUGUGAUCAAGCAUCGCAUGCUCCCUCUUCCAUCGAGAUUGGUGUUUGCGUUGAGCAUAGACAUGAUUGGAUUAUGUCUAUCGCAAUACGGUUAUUAUUUUAAGGAGAAUAAUGGUUACUCUGUUUAUUUGAAUAAUACCUUCAAUGGUCUUCCACCUAAAAUGAAUGUUUUUUGAAUCUCGAUCGUAGUGUGAUACACAUGUUCAUGCCAAAAGAUAUAAGAUAGUAAUGAUAGUACCACCUACUUGUGGCACAGCCACGUAAGUCAUAUCGGUAUAAAACGCAUGAAGAAGCUCCAUGUUGAUGGAUCUUUGGGCUCACUCGUUUUGAAAAAUUUGAGACAUGCGAACCAUGUCUAUUGGUGUAUAUGCAUGAAGAAACUCCAUGCAAGUGGACCGUUUGGACUCACUUGAUUUUGAAUCACUUGAGACAUGCAAAUCAUACCACAUGGGCAAGAUGACUGAAAGCCUCGUUUUCAGUAAAAUGGAACUAGAAAGCAACUUGUUGGAAGUAAUACAUUUUGAUGUGUGCAGUCCAAUGAGUGCUGAGGCGUGUAGUGGAUAUCGUUAUGUUCUUACUUCACAGAUGAUUUGAGUAGAUGUUGAGUACGUUUACUUGAUGAAUCACGAGUCUGAAUUAUUGAAAUGUUCAAGUAAUUUCAGGGUGAAGUUGAAAGAUCGUCGUGACAAGAGGAUAAAAUAUCUAUGAUAUGAUCAUAGAGAUGAAUAUCUGAAUUACGAGUUUGGCACAGAAUUAAGACAUUGUGGAAAUUGUUUCACAACUAAUACAGCCUGGAACACCAUAGUGUGAUGGUGUGUCCGAACAUCAUAACUGCACCCUAUUGGAUAUGAUGCAUACCAUGAUGUCUCUUAUCGAAUUACCAUGAUAGUUUAUGGGUUAGGCGUUAGAGACAACCACAUUCACUUUAAAUAGGGCACCACGUAAUUCCGAUGAGAUGACACCGUAUGAACUAUGGUUUAGAGAAACCUAAGCUGUCAUUUCUUAAAAGUUUGGGGCUGCGACGCUUAUGUGAAAAAGUUUUAGGCUGAUAAGCUCGAACCCAAAGCGGAUAAAUGCAUCUUCAUAGGACACCCAAAACAGUUGGGUAUACCUCCUGUCUCAGAUCCGAAAGCAAUAAGGGAUUGUUUCUAGAAUCGGGUCCUUUCUCGAGGAAAAGUUUCUCUCGAAAGAAUUGAGUGGGAGGAUGGUGGAGACUUGAUGAGGUUAUUGAACCGUCUCUUCAACUAGUGUGUGGCAGGGCACAUGGAGUUGUUCCUGUGGCACCUACACCAAUUGAAGUGGAAGCUUAUGAUAGUGAUCAUGAAACUUCAGAUCAAGUCACUACCAAACCUCGUGGGAUGACAAGGAUGUGUACUACUUCAGAGUGGUACGUAAUCGUGUCUUGGAAGUCAUGUUGCUAGACAACAAUGAACCUACGAGCUAUGGAGAAGCGAUGGUGGGCCUGGAUUCCAAAAUGGCUCGAGGCCAUAUAAUCCGAGAGAGGAUCCAUAUAUGAAAACAAAGUGUAGACUUUGGAAGAACUACUUGAUGGUCGUAAGGCUGUUAGGUACAUAUGGAUUUUAAAAGGAAGACGGACAAUGAUGGUAAGUAUCACCAUUAAGAAAGCUCGACUUGUCGUUAAGAUGUUUUCCGACAAGUUCAAGGAGUUGACUACGAUGAGACUUUCUCACUCGUAGCGAUGCUAAGAGUCUGUUGGAAUUAUAUUAGCGAUUACUGCAUUAUUUAUGAAAUCUUGCAGAUAGGAUGUCAAAACAUUGUUUCCUCGACGAUUUUCUUGAGGAAAGGUUGUAUGUGAUACAACCGGAAGGUUUUGUCAAUCCUGAAAGAUGCUAAUAAGUAUGCAAAGCUCCAGCAAUCCUUCUAAGGACUGGAGUAAGCAUCUCGGAGUUGGAAUGUAUGCUUUGAUGAGAUGAUCAAAGAUUUUGGGUGUAUACAAAGUUUAUGAGAAACUUGUAUUUCCAAAGAAGUGAGUGGGAGCACUAUAGAAUUUCUGAUGAAUAUAUGUUGUUGACAUAUUGUUGAUCAGAAAUGACGUAGAAUUUCUGGAAAGAAUAUAGGGUUAUUUGGAAAGUGUUUUUCAAUGGAAAGCCUGGAUUAAGCUACUUGAACAUUGAGCAUCAAGAUCUAAAAGGAUAGAUCAAAACGCUCAAUGGUACUUUCAAAUGAGCACAUACCUUGACAUGAUCUUGAAGGUGUUCAAGAUGGAUCAGUCAAAGAAGGAGUUCUUGCCUGAGUUGUAAGGUAUGAAGUUAAGACUUAAAGCUCAACCACGGCAGAAGAAAGAGGAAGGACGAAGGUCGUCCCGUAUGCUUUUGUCAUAGGCUCUAUACGGUAUGCCAUGUUGAGUACCGCACCUGAUGUGUGCCUUGCCACAUAUCUGGCAAGAGGGUACAAAGGUAAUCUAGGAGUAGAUCACCAGAUAGCGGUCUAAAUUAUCCUUAGAGGAAUAAGAAUAUGUUUCUCGGUUAUGGAGGUGAUAAAGAGUUCGACGUAAAGAGUUACGUCGAUGCAAGCUUAACACCUAUCCGGAUAGCUCUGAGUAGAGAUACCAGAUACGUAUAAUGGAGCAACAAUUUAGAAUAGCUCCAAGUAGAACAGUUAUUUGAAAUGGCUCCAAAUGUAGCGUAGUAGUUGCAUCUACAAGAUGACAUAGAAAUUUGCGAAGUACAUACAGAUCUGAAUGUUGCAGACCCGUUGACUGAAACCUCUCUCACAAGCAUAACAUGAUCAAACCCAGAACUCUUUGGGUGUUAGUCACAUGGGGAUGUGACCUUGAGUGUUAAUCACAUAUCGAUGUGAACUGGAUUAUUGAUUCUAGUGUAAGUGGGAGACUGUUGGAAAUAUGCCCUACAUGCAAUAAUAAAUUGGUUAUUAUUAUAUUUCCUUGUUCAUGAUAAUCGUUUAUUAUCCAUGCUAGAAUUGUAUUGAUAAGAAACUCAGAUACAUGUGUGGAUACAUAGACAACACCAUGUCCCUAGUAAGCCUCUAGUUGACUAGCUCGUUGAUCAAUAGAUGGUUACGGUUUCCUGACCAUGGACAUUGGAUGUCGUUGAUAACGGGAUCACAUCAUUAGGAGAAUGAUGUGAUGGACAAGACCCAAUCCUAAGCCUAGCACAAGAUCAUAUAGUUCGUAUGCUAAAGCUUUUCUAAUGUCAAGUAUCAUUUCCUUAGACCAUGAGAUUGUGCAACUCCCGGAUACCGUAGGAGUGCUUUGGGUGUGCCAAACGUCACAGCGUAACUGGGUGGCUAUAAAGGUACACUACAGGUAUCUCCGAAAGUGUUUGUUCGGUUGGCACGAAUCGAGACUGGGAUUUGUCACUCCGUGUAAACGGAGAGGCAUCUCUGGGCCCACUCGGUAGCACAUCAUCAUAAUGUGCACAAUGGGAUGAAGGAGUUGAUCACGGGAUGAUGUGUUAUGGAACGAGUAAAGAGACUUGCCGGUAACGAGAUUGAACAAGGUAUCGGGAUACCGACGAUCGAAUCUCGGGCAAGUAUCGUACCGAUAGACAAAGGGAAUUGUAUACGGGAUUGAUUAAGUCCUUGACAUCGUGGUUCAUCCGAUGAGAUCAUCGUGGAUCAUGUGGGAGCCAGCAUGGGUAUCCAGAUCCCGUUUUUGGUUAUUGACCGGAGAGUUUUCUCGGCCAUGUCUGCAUGACUCCCGAACCCGUAGGGUCUACACACUUAAGGUUCGAUGACGCUAGGGUUAUAGGGAAAGUAUGUACGCGGUUACCGAAUGUUGUUCGGAGUCCCGGAUGAGAUCCCGGACGUCACGAGGAGUUCCAGAAUGGUCCGGAGGUAAAGAUUGAUAUAUAGGAAGUAUGGUUUUGGCCACCGGAAGUGUUCCGGGCAUCACCGGUAGUGUACCGGGACCACCGAAGGGGUCCGGGGGUCCACCAGGUGGGGCCACCAGCCCCGGAGGCCUACAUGGGCCAAUAGUGGGAAGGGACCAGCCCCUAGGUGGGCUAGGGCGCCUCCCACCAAGGCCCAAGGCGCCUCUAAUAGGGGAAGGGGGCAAACCCUAGGGCAUAUGGGCCCUAAGGCCCACCCUAGGUGUGCCUCCCCCUCUCCCCCUUGUGGCCGCCACCCUAGAUGGGAUCUAGGGCUGCCGCACCCCUUGGGGUGGGAACCCUAGGUGGGGGCGCAGCCCUCCCUCUCCCCCUAUAUAUAGUGGAGGCAAAGGGGCAGCCCAACACACGAUUUAAUCUUCCUGUUGGCACAGCCCAACCCCUCUUCCUCCUCGUCUCUCGUAGUGCUUGGCGAAGCCCUGCUGGAGUCCCGCGCUCCUCCACCACUACCACGCCGUCGUGCUACUGCUGGAUGGAGUCUUCCCCAACCUCUCCUUCUCCCCUUGCUGGAUCAAGGCGUAGGAGACGUCACCGGGCUGUACGUGUGUUGAACACGAAGGUGCCGUCCGUUCGGCACUAGGAUCAUCGGUGAUUUGGAUCACGACGAGUACGACUCCAUCAACCCGUUCACUUGAACGCUUCCGCUUAGCAAUCUACAAGGGUAUGUAGAUGCACUCUCCUUCCCCUCGUUGCUAGAUUACUCCAUAGAUUGAUCUUGGUGAUGCUUAGAAAAUUUUAAUUUCUGCUACGUUCCCCAACAGGACGCACCUGAGUUUCCGCCACUGACCUCGCGGUGGCUCUCCACCUGGCCACCCCGCCGGUCGCGCCCUCUCCGCCUCCGUCGGAGUCGGCUAGUGACAUCUCCAGUGUGGGCCUGCUCGUCGUGCCGCCUUCAUCGCCGUGCUCUCCCUCCGCCGACUCCGCCCUUCGCGCCUUGCCGUCGGGCCCGGACCCCCCGUCUCCCCUGGUUUGACCUCCCCGGUCCCCAUGGGUGGCGGCGGGUGCACUCCCAUCGGCGUGCCUUCUCCGACACUCCCACUCGCGGGGGACGCGGCCGGCGACAUCCUGGUGCUCGUCGCCCCACUCCCCUCGCUGGUGGACUCCGACGUCCGCCUCGCACCGCCUGCUUCCCCGACCGCGGCGGUGGCCGUUGUUUUGACCACUCCGGCCUCUGCUCACCCUCCUCCGACGGUGGCGUAUGCCAGGCGGCCCCGCUCCACCUCGCCGCAGGUGACGGCGUCCCGCCGCAGCGCCCGCCUCGAUGCGACCCGCCCAGCGGACUCCUCGGCUCCGUCCAUCUCCGAGCGUGCGGAGCUUAGGGCGGCGGUCCGGAACCUCGAGUCAGGUAUGGAUCCCGCCCUUCCCAGUUCUUCCAGUUGUUCCUUUUCCGCGCUUGAGGCCGUUCCUCUUGGCCACCUUGCCAAGGUGGCCACUGACUCGAUCAUCAUCUUCAGGGGGAGGUUGGUCCCCCCUUAAAUCAGAUCGCGACCAUUAGGUCUCGUGAGAUCUUAGAUGGCAAGCUGGCUGAGACUCGGGCGCGCUUGCUUCGGCCUCCCAAGGAAUCGUCCGCUACCCCCGCGGUUCGCGUUCCUCCGGUGGCCGAUGGGGUGAUCCGCUCUCGCGCUGCUGCUCUCCACAUGCAAAGCGCCUCCCGUGUCCUAGGUUCAAGCAGCCCCCCAAUGGGGGCUUAGAUGCGGGCCCUUUUCUGGAACAUCCGUGGCUUCGGCCAUGAUGGCCGUCACCUCCAACUCAUCGAGUACAUGCGAGACGAACACAUUGACAUCAUUUCCAUCCAAGAAACCAUGCACACCGUGUUCUCCCUCCACGAGCUCGAAUGUCUUAGUUCCCACCUCUUCGCCUGGCAUUGGCUCCCUUCUAGUGGGACCAUAGGCCAUUCUGGCGGCAUCCUUUUAGGGGUAAAGGAUGCCACCUUUGAGGUGGGUGGCAUGGACCAGGGUGAAUUCUUCCUUAGUAUGGAGAUCUUCGAGCGUGCUCUUAACUUCAAAUGGGAGGUCGUGAUUGUGUAUGGACCGGCGGACCACCGCGCUCCCCGGCCUUCCUGGCGGAGCUACAUCUGAAGAUCUCCAACUCCCUCCUCCCAGUUGUAGUGGGCGGAGACUUUAACCUCAUCCGAUCCCCAGAUGAGAAGAAUAAUGACCGGAUUAACCUCCCCCGGAUGCAGUUAUUCAAUGACUGGAUCGCGGAGCUGGGUCUCCGUGAGCUAGAUCGGACGGGUGCCAGGUUCACUUGGACAAACCGUCAGGUUGACCCGACGCAAUCCGUCUUGGAUCGCGUCCUAGUUUCCCCGGAGUGGGAAUUAUGUUGCCCCCUGGCCUCGCUUUGUGCGAUUACCCGGAUCGGGUCUGACCAUGUCCCUCUCCUCCUCUCCACCGCUGACGAGCGCCCCCCCCCCACCCCGCCACAUUUCUGGUUCGAGCUCUUCUGGCUUAAUCAGGUCGGCUUCCGGGAGGCUGUCGUCGCUCGCUGGAUCUCCGCUCGCUCUUCCCCUCAUCGCGCCAUGUCCGCAGUCGACUCGUGGCACUUCUGUGCCAAGCUCGCCCACCAAUUCAUGAAGGGUAGGGGUGCUAACCUUGGCCAGGACCUUCGAGAGCGCAAAAAGGCCCUCCUACUGGCUAUCCAAGCCCUGGAUGCCUGUGCCGACACGUCCGGGAUCUCCCCGGAUGAGUGGAUGCUGCGAUAUGACCUUGAAGACCAGCUCUCAACCAUUUACACGGAUGAAGAGGCCUACUGGCGACUGCGCGGUACCCAAUGGUGGGUGCUUCGGGGUGAUGCCAACACCGCCUAUUUCCAGGCAGUGGCGAACGGCCGGCAGCAUCGAAACUCCAUCCACUGCCUGUGGGAUGGAGACACGCCUCUUGUUUGCCCCUCGGCCAUCCAUGCCCAUGUAGACGGCUUCUAUAAAGCCCUAUUUACCCCACCCCUCGGGGUGGGGCUAGUCUCGCCCCCGACAUUUGGUCGGGUGAUCAAUUGGUCUCAGUUGAGGCCAAUGCGGCAUUAGUGGCCCCCUUCUCCAAGGAUGAGGUCCUCGCGGCUAUUAAAGGGAUGAACCCCUCCUCGGCCUCAGGACCGGAUGGCUUGCCUGUAACGUUCUUCAAAACGUUCUGGCCGACCAUCAAGCCGGAGGUCAUGGCCCUGUUUGAGGAAUUCUACUCGGGCGCCAUGGAUCUUGGGUGUCUCAACUAUGGUAUCGUGACCCUCAUACCCAAGGUCCCGGGCGCCUCCGACAUCCGCCAGUUUCGUCCAAUCACAGUGAUUAAUGUGAUAUUCCGGAUCCUGGCCAAAGGGUACACCAAUAGGAUGACCCUGCUCGCUGACGCGAUUACCCAUCCCAACCAAUCCGCCUUCAUACAAGGCCGAUUUAUUCUGGAUGGGGUGCUGGUAUUCCACGAAGUCCUCCAUGAGGUCCGGAUGAAACGCCAUCGGCUGGUCUUUCUGAAGCUAGACUUCCACAAAGAGUACAACAUGGUCCACUGGCCCUUCUUGCGGGAAGUGUUGCUUUGCAAGGGCUUUGAUGACCAUUGGGUGACUCGCGUCAUGCAGCUUGUCUCCUGUGGCCGGACCGCUGUGAACAUCAACGGUGACAUUAGGCCCUACUUCCCCACCCUCUGUGGGGUCCGUCAGGGUGACCCGUUCUCGACGUUCCUGUUCAACAUGGUGGUUGAUGCCCUGGCAUCCAUCCUUGAUAAGGCCAAGGAUGCUGGCCAUAUUUGUGGCAUCGUCCCCCACCUAGUCGAAGGGGGAGGGGUCUCCCUCCUUCAAUAUGCGGAUGAUACCAUAAUAAUGGUGGAGGGCUCCAUCCAAGACAUUGCUAACCUGAAGUUCCUCCUCCCGUGCUUCCAACAGAUGUCGGGCCUGACCAUCAACUUUGAUAAGAGCGAAGUGAUGGUUCUCGGGUUCCCCCCGGAGGAAGCACGGGCUAUUGCGGACCGGCUAAAUUGUCGGUUGGGUUCUUUCCCCACGACCUACCUGGGGAUCCUCAUUAGUGAUUCACGCCUCACCAUGGCGGAUUUUCGCCCCACGGUGACCCGUACGCAACACCGCAUUGAGCCCUGGAAAGGGCGCUGGUUGUCGAAGGUUGCUCACGUGAUCCUUAUCAAGUUUUCCCUUGCCAGCCUUCUUUGGUUCCUCAUGAGCUUCUAUAGCCUCCGUGAGACCCUUCAUCAAGAGAUCGCCAAAUACCAAUCCAGAUUCUUCUGGGCUGGGGAGGGGGAUAAGCAGAAGUACCAUAUGGUAAGCUGGCCCGGUAUCUGCAAACCCAAGGACCAGGGUGGUCUUGGGAUCUUGUCCUCCCGACGCAUGAACAUUGCCCUCCUGACCCGUUGGCUCUGGCGCAUUGCCAAUGGCGAUGGAGGUCUUUGGCUCACCAUCAUCCACAACAAGUACCUUCGAGGACAGCCUCUUGCAUUCUGUCAGCGCUCGAGCGGCUCCCAGUUUUGACAGGCCAUCGUCCAGCUGCUACCUGUGCUUUGCAUUGGCACAUCCAUCUCGGUUGGUACUGGGUCCUCGACCCUGUUCUGGUUUGAUCGGUGGAUUGGCGACACCCCCCUGGCUGCACGAUUUCCGGAGCUCUUCGCCAUUGCAGUUGACCCUCGUGUCUCUGUCGAGACGACCCUUAUUGACUUAGGGCGCCUCGCUUUCCGCCGCCCCUUUGGCCCUCCUAAAGUUGCCUCUUGGGAUGCCCUCCUUCAGGACAUCGCCCUCCUCCCUAUGGACGGUGUUGUCACCCCGGACGCCAUCUCUUGGCGUCUGAAACCUUCCGGCUACUUCUCCACCAAAUCCCUCUACGCGGCCAUCGCCCCCUCGAUGGCCCCCGAGCCCUUUAGUUUGAUUUGGGACGUCCGCCUGCCCCUGAAGAUCAAGAUCUUCCUGUGGCAAUGGAUCCGAGGCCGCCUCCCGUCUGGUGUGGAGGUCCUUAAGAGUAAUGGACCUGGGGAUGGGAUGUGCCCCAUGUGCGACAUGGUGGAGGAUGCUAACCACAUCUUCUUCUCGUGCUCCACGGCUCAGUUCCUUUGGUCCUGUUUCCGCGAGACGGUUGGGGGCCAGUGGUGCAACACCAACUUCCCUGACCUGCUUGCGGAAAUUCACGCCUCCCCCCUCGCUACCGCCAUAAUAGAUGGCUUUGCAUUAAGGUCCUUGCCUGGACACUUUGGACCGUUCACAAUAAGCUUGUCAUACAGAAGGUGCCUCUUCGACGUGCUACUGACGCCAUCUUUAAAAUGUGUGGAUACUUGCAGCUCUGGCGACCGCUUAGCCGCCCCCAGGAUUGGGACGUCAUCAACAACCUCCUCGCUGGCCUUCGAUCGAUGGCCUUCCGCUUGGCGCCUCCGCUCCCUCCGCCCCCCGGAGCCCGACUAGAUGCUCUGCCGCACCCUGCGUGUGCGUGCUAUUUUGUUUCUUUAGGGCUUGUUGAGCUGUGCCCUCAGCAUUAAACCUUUGACUACUUGACUGUACUAGACCUUUGUGUGUGUGUGUGAACCUUGUUGGAUGUUUGGCUUGGGCAGUUGCUUUAUAAUAUAAAGCGGGGCGAAAAUCUUUUUCAGUAAAGGAUAAGUAUCCAACAUCUUGACAAACGAAAAACAUUAGCAGAGUAAUACUGUCUUCACCGAAGCUUCAGAUAUAUUCAAAUAAACUAAUCCUUCAUCAAACAAGUAGCAAGAUAUGUAUGUGAUUUAACAUGCAUGCCAAUGUGAAAUGAAGACUAUAUCAUGUAGAGCCUAGUUGCCUUCUUCCACAGUUCCAGUAAAGCCAAAGGACAGGUUCUUUUGAGCUCAGCAUAUCCAUGGCUUGCUAUUAUAUCAUCCACUUUACCCAAAGAGGCAAUAAAUUCAAUGCAAGCAUCAGUCAACUUGUUGUAGUGAUGCUGAUCAGCCAAAACCAGUGUAGUCACCACGGUCUUCACAUCUAUGUUCUUGCAAAGGAUGCUUUCACAUAUGAUCUUCAGUCUUUCCAUGGCAUACCGAUCCGCGGCUACAAGCAAAUGUCCAAUAAUCUCUUUGUACUCAUCUUGAUAUUGGUAAAGAUCAUCCAUGGUGGGCAACGAAUCGGUGUAUAUAAAAUGGAGCAGGGCCUCGAAGACUAGAGGUUGCAUGUCGCCGAUGAUAACACAACCCAUAUCAUUUUCCCUCAAGGCACCGUACAACUCUUCCUUAAACACCGGCGACCGCAUCGCGAGCACUAUCUUGUGCGCAGGAAAAGCCUCCCCUUGAACCUCGAAGGUGACAUCGCUUCCCUCUUUCCGUUGCCACAACUUCCUGAGGUGAUCCGUGAUGUCGGAUGGCGGCAACGGCACCUCAGCAAACGAUUUGGGCGCUUCCGUGCAGAUAGUGAUGGCACACUCAAUUGUGAGGCGAUCGCUGUGAAGGUAAGGCGACACCUCGAGCUUGCUCUUCUUCAUGCACUCGGGAUGGCCGAAGCACGUUCGGUCGCCAGAGUCGAAUUCUGCGGCGACCGUCCUCAUCGUACGAGGCGGCGUUGAUCCUGUGAUGUCCACCAAACUGAGCUCGAAGGUUGCCCUCACCUUGGCCUUCUUGCUGACUAAAAAGAGAUAGACCGCCACAUAGCCUCCGGAAUGCCCAAGCACUCCUUCCUCAUAGAAACGAAUCUGCCAGUUGUAAGAGCCGACGGUGAAUACUUCCGAUGAUUGUACGUCGAGGCUAACUCGGCCGUACCCUGAGACCUCGAACACGAGCGAGCCCCGCCCUGCACGUCACGUGGACGCCGUGCAUCCCAUCGCCGCCUCCGUUGCCCGGUUGUCUUGUUCGUGGCCGGGGUGGUGGCCGGUGGCGGGGGAGAAGAGUUUAUUAGGGUUUCUUAUUAGGGUUUGCAUUUGUAUGGAGGGUUGGACCGGGAAGCGAAAGGAAAGAGGGUUGGGCCGGGAAGCGGAACGCGCUUCGCUAUACUCUCUAAAAUCGGGCCCAGGAAUCCAAGUCGAAUUCCUCCUUAGGACCGAAUCAAAUCGUGGGACGUCCUAUACGCCGCUCUCUGGACGUAGCUGGGAACCGAACCUCGUACAUCAUGAUACAGAUCAGGCGCGGCCACCGACUGACCUAUCACGCGUUACCGACAAGUUUGCAGCGUCCGUUUUUAAGAAUCAACCCCACACAGCAGAUCCGAAUUACUUUCAGCAUUUUAAAAGAUUAUUUUAAACUAGGUGUUUUCUGAAUGCAAACACUUUUCAAAUUGGGGAAUUGCUUAAAAAAUGAUUUCUUUUAGAAAAGCAGGAACAUUUUUCGAAAUCACAAACAAUUUUUCCCAAAACAGGAACAAUUUUUGAAAUUCCAAAAGAAAAUUGGGCAAAUGCAAACAUUCUUUAAACUCCUGAACAAAUUUGAAAACACGAACAUUUAUUUGAAAUUUGUGAACAUUUUUAAACGGGAACAUUUUUGGAAACUCCAAAAAAUGAAAACAUGAACAUUUUUUAAAAUACGGUACAAGUUCUGAGAAGUUGUGUAUUUUUUUAGCAGAAACAUUUGGAACAUUAAAAAAAACACAAACAAUUGUUUUAAUACACGAAUAUUUUUUGAAAUUAUGAACAAAAUUUAAAAAAAAAACUACCUUCAAUUUUAUCAUCUUUAAUAAGCUAAAUUUUUUUUUUGAAAUUUGUGAACAGUUUUCAGAAAAUAAAAAUAACUUUUAAAAACAAUUUUUUUAAUACACGAACAAAUUUUGUUAAAUACGAACAAGUUUUGAAUUUAUGAACAUAAUUUUAAAACACUAAAAUUUUGAAUUCUGAUAUGUUUAUAAACGCACAAACAUUUUACAAAAAUUCCAAACUUUUUCUGAAAAUAAUAUAAAAGAAAAAAAAUAGAAAAGAAACAUAAAGGAAAAAACGAAAAGAAAAAGAAUCAAAAACAGAGAAACCAAAAAAGAA